AGAGCUUUUAUAUAUAUAUAUAGAGCUGGACUGGGCUACUAUUAGUAGCAAAAUUUCAUUAUUGCUACCAGUUUUUUAGCCUUUGGAUCAACUCUUUUCAUUAUUUUUAACCAUUGGAUUAAAUACUAUAACCCAGUGGGGACCACUCAACCCUAGGGGGACCACUCAACUCUAACCGACUAAUAUCAUCCUAACCUUACAAUUUUUCAUCCAAGGGUUAAAAGCUUGAUAGCAAAAAGAGCGUUUUACUAUUAAUAGUAUUCCAGCCUAAUUCUAUAUAUAUAUAUAUAUAUAUAUAUAUAUAUAUAUAUAUAUAUAUAUAAAAUUGAGCUAGAAUACUCUCAAAAACACCAUUGGGGUGGUGCUUUUGAGUUUUUAGCCAUUGGAUGGAGAGAUGUAAGGUUGAAAUGAUGGUGGUAGGUGGUGGUAGGUGGAAUAGUGUUUGAUCCAAGGACUAUUAGUAAUCAAGGAGUAGAUCCAAUAGCUAAAAACCUAAUAGCACCAUGGGGGUGAUACUUCUAAAAGUCAACCAACCAUCCACUCAACCCUAGGGGGCCCACAUCAUCCUAACCGCACAUCCUUUAAUCCAAGGGCCGAAAACUUAUAAGCACCAAUGACUUGGUACUUUUAAAAGCAUAGGAGCUCAAUUCAUAUAUAUUUAUAGAGUCCGGCUGAGUACUAUCAAUAGCACUAAGGAUUUGGUACUAUCGAGUUUUCCACCGUUAGAUUUAACUCUUUGAUUAUUUUUACCUAUUAGAUUAUACUAUUCAACUAGCCACUCACUCAACCUAGGGUGCCCACAUCAUCCUAACCACCAAUUUCUCAAUCCAAGGACUAAAAAAUCAAUAGCACCAAGCUAUAUUGAUAAUAUUCCAGUCUAGUUUUAUAUAUAUAUAUAUAUAUAUAUAUAUAUAUAUAUAUAUAUAUAUAGAGUCCGGCUAUGGUGCUUGUAAAAGUACCAAGCACUUGGUGCUUGUAAACUUUUUACCGUUAGAUCUACGCCUUUGAUCAUUUUCACCCGUUAGAUUAUACUAUUCAACUAACCACCCACUCAACCCAGGGGCCCAUAUCAUCCUAACCGCACAUCUAUUAAUCCAAGGGCUAAAAACUUAAAAACACCAAUGACUUGUACUUUUAAAAGUAUAGGAGCUCAAUUCUCUCUCUCUCUCUCUCUCUCUCUCUCUCUCUCUCUCUCUCUCUCUCUCUCUAUAUAUAUAUAUAUAUAUAUAAUCCAGCUGCUAUCCUAUUAAUAGAAUAGGAACCUUCGUCCUAUCAAAUAGUUUUUGAUGAUAGAGAUCUCGAAUUGUUGAUCGGAACCGUUGAAGUUGAUUUAGAGUAUUUGAAAUAUCUAGGAACUAAAUUUUAUAAAUUUUAAAAUUUAUUUACAAAGUGAUCAAAGAAUAGCAAAAUUGACAAUUUUUGACGGCCUAUAUAUAUAUAUUAUAUAUAUAGAGCUAGGUUACUUAGACAUCGGUACACGGAGCGCCUGGCCGUGCUACAAGGUUGUUUUCGAUGAUUGUGGCUUUCCCAAAUCGACGAAGUCGGCUCCGUUAGAGUUAUCUACACUAUUGAAAGUAUUUAGAAAACAAAAUUUUCAUAAAUUUUUCGAUAUAUCAUUUUACCUAUCAAACAAUGUUUAAGUCUAAAAUUGAAACAACGGCUGAAAAUAGAAAAAAUCUAUAAAAAAUGAUGAUAAAAAAUUUAAAUUACAAGAUCAGAUACUACGAUUCUUAUUCUAAUAUAGUUGAAAGAAUUUUCUAUAAAAUUUUCAUCGAUUUGGAUUGUUUUACACCAUUAAACUCACAAAACACANNNNNNNNNNNNNNNNNNNNNNNNNNNNNNNNNNNNNNNNNNNNNNNNNNNNNNNNNNNNNNNNNNNNNNNNNNNNNNNNNNNNNNNNNNNNNNNNNNNNNNNNNNNNNNNNNNNNNNNNNNNNNNNNNNNNNNNNNNNNNNNNNNNNNNNNNNNNNNNNNNNNNNNNNNNNNNNNNNNNNNNNNNNNNNNNNNNNNNNNNNNNNNNNNNNNNNNNNNNNNNNNNNNNNNNNNNNNNNNNNNNNNNNNNNNNNNNNNNNNNNNNNNNNNNNNNNNNNNNNNNNNNNNNNNNNNNNNNNNNNNNNNNNNNNNNNNNNNNNNNNNNNNNNNNNNNNNNNNNNNNNNNNNNNNNNNNNNNNNNNNNNNNNNNNNNNNNNNNNNNNNNNNNNNNNNNNNNNNNNNNNNNNNNNNNNNNNNNNNNNNNNNNNNNNNNNNNNNNNNNNNNNNNNNNNNNNNNNNNNNNNNNNNNNNNNNNNNNNNNNNNNNNNNNNNNNNNNNNNNNNNNNNNNNNNNNNNNNNNNNNNNNNNNNNNNNNNNNNNNNNNNNNNNNNNNNNNNNNNNNNNNNNNNNNNNNNNNNNNNNNNNNNNNNNNNNNNNNNNNNNNNNNNNNNNNNNNNNNNNNNNNNNNNNNNNNNNNNNNNNNNNNNNNNNNNNNNNNNNNNNNNNNNNNNNNNNNNNNNNNNNNNNNNNNNNNNNNNNNNNNNNNNNNNNNNNNNNNNNNNNNNNNNNNNNNNNNNNNNNNNNNNNNNNNNNNNNNNNNNNNNNNNNNNNNNNNNNNNNNNNNNNNNNNNNNNNNNNNNNNNNNNNNNNNNNNNNNNNNNNNNNNNNNNNNNNNNNNNNNNNNNNNNNNNNNNNNNNNNNNNNNNNNNNNNNNNNNNNNNNNNNNNNNNNNNNNNNNNNNNNNNNNNNNNNNNNNNNNNNNNNNNNNNNNNNNNNNNNNNNNNNNNNNNNNNNNNNNNNNNNNNNNNNNNNNNNNNNNNNNNNNNNNNNNNNNNNNNNNNNNNNNNNNNNNNNNNNNNNNNNNNNNNNNNNNNNNNNNNNNNNNNNNNNNNNNNNNNNNNNNNNNNNNNNNNNNNNNNNNNNNNNNNNNNNNNNNNNNNNNNNNNNNNNNNNNNNNNNNNNNNNNNNNNNNNNNNNNNNNNNNNNNNNNNNNNNNNNNNNNNNNNNNNNNNNNNNNNNNNNNNNNNNNNNNNNNNNNNNNNNNNNNNNNNNNNNNNNNNNNNNNNNNNNNNNNNNNNNNNNNNNNNNNNNNNNNNNNNNNNNNNNNNNNNNNNNNNNNNNNNNNNNNNNNNNNNNNNNNNNNNNNNNNNNNNNNNNNNNNNNNNNNNNNNNNNNNNNNNNNNNNNNNNNNNNNNNNNNNNNNNNNNNNNNNNNNNNNNNNNNNNNNNNNNNNNNNNNNNNNNNNNNNNNNNNNNNNNNNNNNUAUAUAUAUAUAUAUAUAUAUAGUAGGGUUAGAAUACUUGUAAAAGUAUAAUGGGGGUGAUACUUGUGUGUUUUUAACCCUUGGAUGGAGAGAUGUGAGGUUGAGAUGAUGGUGGUAGGUGGUGGUAGGUGGAAUAGUGUUUAAUCCAAGGACUAUUAAUAAUCAAAAAGUAGAUCCAAUGGCUUAAGACCUAAUAGCACCAUGAUGGUGAUACUUGUAAAAGUAUCAUAGCUCAACUCUCUCUCUCUAUAUAUAUAUACAUAUAUAUGUAUAUAUAUACAUAUAUAUGUAUAUAUAUAUAUGAGCUAGUCUCCUAUACUAUUUAUAGUACUGGGGCUCCGGUACUAUAGUCUCGUUUUCGAUCUUAUGGUGUUCAAAUCAAUGAUCCACACCGUUAAAACUGAUCUAGGGUAUUUAAAGUUUUUAGAAAUAACAUUUUAUAUUUUUUCGACAUAGUUUACUUUAUGAUCAAACCAUUUCAAAAUUGUCAAUUUUCAAUGGCUACUAGGCGAGUUUGGAGUUUAACGGUGUAGAAGAAUCUAAAUUUCUUCAAAUUUGAUAGAAAAUACUUUAAACUAUCUAGAUUAAGGUUGACAUUUUUUAUCUUGAAUUUAAAAGUCCUAUGCUAAAAUUUUAAAGAUUAUUCAAUUUUCACCGUCCAUUUUUGACAUAAUUUAUUUACUAAGUAAACGAUGUCGAAAAAAACUAAAAUUUUAUUUCUAAGAACUUCAUAUACCCUAAAUCAUAUUUAACUGUGUGGAUCGUUAAUUUAAAUACUCUAAGAUCGAAAACAAGACUAUAGUACCGAAGCUCCGAUACUAUAGAUAGUAUAGUAGCCUAAUUCUAUAUAAAUAUAUAUGACUUAGGCUGGAAUACUAUCAAUAGCACCAAGCUAUUGGUGUUAUUAGGUUUUCUGCCCUUAGAUGAAAAAAUAUACGGUUAAGAUGAUGUGGGCCCCUUAGAGUUGAGUAGGUUAUUGGUUUAAUAGUACAAUCUAACGGUUAAAAAUAGUUAAAGGGUUAAAUCUAAUGGCGAAAAAUUUGAUAGCACCAAAUGCUCGGUACUAUCGAUAGCAUCCUAGCCGGACUCUCUCUCUCUCUCUCUCUCUCUCUCUCUAUAUAUAUAUAUAUAGAGAGAGAGUCCGGCUACUAUACUAUCAAUAGUACAAAGCCCUUAGUACUAUUGAGUUUUCUACCGUUAGAUAUACCCUUUGAUCAUUUCCACCCGUUAGAUUACACUAUUAUACCAACCACCCAUUCAACCCUAGGGGACCACUAUCAAUUUAACCGGGGACCACUAUCAUUCUAACCGCACAUUUUUUCAUCCAACGGCCGAAAACUCAAUAGUACCAAGGGUUUGGUACUAUUGACAGUAUAGUAGCAUAUAUAUAUAUAUAUAUAUAUAUAUACUAUAUAUAUAUACAUCAAUAUAUAUACUCAUAUGCUACGGUUACUUUACUCUUACAUGGAGUAUAGGAGCCCUCUUUGUAACUCAAUAAGUUUUACAAACUCGUUAAGAAUUGGAAACGAUUGUGUGGUUUAGGGGAUCUGAUAAAGUGGUCCCCGGUUUAAGUUCUUUAAUUAGUCGGUUCCCCUAGUUGUUUAGAGGUGGGGUGGUGGUUGGGUUGAAAUAGUAUUUGAAGUCUAAAACGGGUUUGGGAAAAAAAUUGAUCAACAGGAAUAGAUGUAAACGCUCAAUAAUAAUUAUUAAGUAUAAAAGGGGGUCUAUUAACUCAUAAGGAGUUAUAGUUUGCCGGAUUCUAUAUAUAUAUAUAUAUAUAUAUAUAGUAGUGCUAUUAGAAACACGUAGGCCGUAGUUCCAUAAAUAUGAUUUUUUUUUCACUCAUUUUUUAUUUUCUUCUUAUCUGUAAUUUCUUAGGUGCGUAAUUCUCCGCAUUUGUGUUACGAUCCAUUUGUUGUUAGAUCAAUCGGCUAUUCAAUUACUUAUGUUAAUCUAAUCUCGUACUAUUAAAAAAUUCUGCACACUGGACAGUAAAAAAAUUGACUCUCCCAUUAUUACUGCAUACUUACUUUUAGGGCUCAUACAAAUAAUGUGAAGGUGUGCAUGAUAGCGGCGCACGUUAGCAGAAAAUAAUCUCAUUAUUUAUUAAUUAAUGAACUUAAAUAGUCAAAAAAAUAUAUAAUUAAUUAUGCAAAUCUUAUCUGAGGCAUUGCCGGGAAGUCAGUCCUUUGUCGGUAGGGCUUCCCCCAAAAGCAGAAAAAAAAAAUCACUUUCUGCCCCUUGCAAAAAAAGUGAUUUUAAAAAAAGUCCCUUCAACUUUGUCCCUACAAUAAAUAAAUAAAUAAAUAAAUAAUUGGUAUAUUUCCUAUGCUUUUUUAAGAUAAGAUGGUAAGUGGACCCGUUAUCGACCCGAUAACAUGAUCCGAACAUUAUAAAAGAAAUUGUAAGAUUCGGAUCCGAUAAGAUGGAUCCGGUGGUUCGUGAAAAUUUUAUUAAAGUCUAUUUGAUUUUGUUCGUAUUCUGUAAAAAUUAUUCUAUGCUGAAUAAUAAUCAGAUAAAUAAAUUCGGACAGAAAAAAUAUAACGAAAUUUCUAAGAACCAGAUUAAAUCGUAUUAACGAUAAUGCUAAGUCAGAAAUGAACUAGAGUGCAAGAAAAGCAUGAAUCAAGCUCGAAAAUUAUAUGAGAAAGCUUGGGCUCGGCCAAGAAAAUAAAAACUUAAGAUGAUAUUUGAGAUGUGCUGAUUGAAAUUUUAAUUUGUAUUGAAUAUAAAUUAAUACUGUUAAAAAUAUGUUCUAUCAGGCCAAAUAUGUAUUUAGAUUAUAAUUAAAAUCAAAUAUUUAUCAAAUUUGAAUGUACAUCAGUAAAAAAUCAGAAACUAAUUUUUUACUUUUAUAUGCGCUCACUUAUUAGUUGAUAGAAUAUUCGUGAUUGAUCUUAUGUUGAAUGAACAACUAAAUUAUUAUCUUAUCAGAAAAAUUUAAUACGCAGCAAUGUAAAACAUAUUAACCCUAAAAAAAAAAAAAAAGGGAUCAAAAUAAUCUUUUACAUUUCUAAGUCUUUUCACUUUUUUAAACUGUUAUUUGUUGAUUUAUUUUUAUUAUUAUUACAAAUUAGUCCUCCCACUCCACUCAAAUCAGUCCCACUUAUUCUCCUUCCUUUUCCACACAGAAGAGAUGAUUGAUGAUUAUAAUAUACCCCCUGAAAUAAAUAAAUAAAUAAAUAACAACUACUUAAUUUCACCACAACUUAGGAAACAAAAAGGGGAACAAAAUUAAAGCCAUGUAGCUCUAAUUAAUAAAACACACUCAUUACUGCUACCACACCAUAACCAUAAAGUGUACACUAACCACCACUAAACCAAAAAAUAAAAAUUUAAGAAAAAAAAGUAAAGGGGAAAAAAGAAAAGAAAAAGAGGAACUAUUACAAGAAGCUUCUUCUCUUCAUCAAAACCCCUCCCACACAAGAGCUCUUUUUUUUUUUUUUUUUUUUGAAAAAAAAAAAUCUCUUUUUUUUGUUAUUUUUGCUCUCACCCCCCUCUACUUUUCUUUAUUCUCUUCUACUGAGAUACUCACUCUCGUUCGUUAACUUACUUGUAGUAGUGGUGGUAGUGGUGGUGUAUAGAGGAAGGGAAAAAAAAAAAAAAAGAAAAAAGGAAAAAAAGAGGGAGAGUAGAGAAGAAGAAGAGGAAGAAGAAGAAGAAGAAGAGGGAGAGGGAGAGGUUGUGGUGGUGGUGGUUGUUGUGGAUGUCGCCUCCUCUGGAGCACGACUACAUAGGCCUCUCGGAGGCCUCGUCGGCGGCGGGGCCCGGGGGCGGCGGGGGGGCCGCCGGAGGGGAGGGGCGCGCGGCGGCGGCGGCGAUGAGCGUGAGGGAGACGGAGCUGAGGCUGGGGCUCCCAGGGUCGGAGUCGCCGGAGCGGAAGGAGGUGGGGGUGGGGCUCACGCUCGAGCUGCUGCCCAAGGGCCUCGUCUCCGGCGCGAAGCGGGGAUUCGCGGCGGCGGCGGCGGAUGCGGCGCCGGAGAAGGCGCCGGCGCCGGAGAAGAAGGCCCAGGCGCCGCCCCAGGGCGGCGACCGCGGCCUCGCCCCUGCUGCUAAGUAAGUGGUGGUGGUGGUGGUGCUUUGCGAGGGUUUUGGGAGGAGAUCCUGUGUGGAUCUCUCUCCCCCCCUCUUUACCCUUAUCUCUUUCUAGGGUUUUUAACUUUAGAUGUUGCAAUUUUUCUGUUUUUUUUUUCUUCUUUUUCUUUUUUCUUGGGUGGUGGGGAGAAGGUUUAGUUUGUAAUAAUUAGGCGGAUUUGUUUUCUUUUUUUUUUUUUUUAAAGUAAUUAAGAGAACUGUUGCUUUUUCUUUUUUGGAAUAAGAGAGAAAUUUGUAGAAUUCACUGCUGUUUCACUUUUAUUUUUGUUUGAGAAAAGUUUUUUUUUUUUUUUUUGUUUUGAGGAAAGAAUUGAAGAGAACUGAAGUUUUUGCUGUUAAUUUCCUUAAAUAAGGGAGACAUGUGUAAAAUUAACUAAUUUUUUCCUUUCAUAUUUGUUUGAGGAAGAAGAAAUUUUCUUUUUAUUUCUUUAGAUUUUUAUUGUUAAAUUUACUUAAAUAAGAGAGGAAUAUUUUUCUUUUAUUUUCUGGUUUUAUCAUGUUGCUUGUUUGAAUCAGACUAGUAGAAUGGUUUGAAUCUGAAGCUAGAUUAAAUUUUUAUUCCUAUUUGUGACCUGAUCUUUAUCGUAUUUUUUUGAAGUUCAAAUUUUACUGAUUUUUCACUCCAAAGUGGUUCUUUUUUGUUUUUUUUUUUGCUGGAAUUUUCUUACUAUUUAUUUUACAAUUUGAUGCUUUCCUUUACCAUUUUUCUCUCUGAUGGUUCUUAAAUUUGUUUUAGUUAAACAGCAAAUAAAACAUGAAUUCUCCUUUUCCAACUACUCCACAGCAUGUUUAUAGACUCUGGAUUUUGUGAUCUAUGCUCUGCAAAACUCUCCAAAAUUCCCGAUGAUUAAUCCACCUUAGCUUUUCUCCAUUUCUUGUGCAUAUCAAUUUUUCUUGCAAACACUUAAAAAUUAGAUCUGAGAGGAAAUUUGAGCUCCACAAUUUGAACAGGGCACAAGUGGUGGGUUGGCCACCAAUUCGUAGCUACCGCAAGAACACGAUGGCGACGAACCCACUGAAGAGCAAAGAAGAGGCGGAAGCGAAACAGGGGGCGGGAUGCCUCUAUGUUAAGGUUAGCAUGGAUGGUGCCCCUUAUCUCAGGAAGGUUGAUCUCAAAACCUACAACAAUUAUAAGGAUUUGUCGUCGGCGCUCGAGAAGAUGUUCAGUGGAUUUACCAUCGGUGAGCUCUGAUUUUGUCUGCAUUUGGUUUUGUUAUUCUCAUUUUUUUUUUCCCUGCAGCUAGUGAAUGAAAACAUCUGCAUUUUUGAUGUUUGCUGCGUGCUUGGCGAUAAUUUUGAUGCGGAAACUUAUUGGAAUGUUGGAAAUAUUUUUUUUAAUAAAAAAAACGAAUUAGUAAUGUCAUGAGUAAGCGCAUUGAAUGUCUAGUUUCUCUUCUUUAUCUCUGAUUGCUUUCUUUUCUUUUUCUUUAGGAUGAUAAUAAUAAUAAUGCCCUGCAUGUGGUUCGAUCAAGCAUAGUUUUGCUCAUCCACAAAUUUUUUUCUGUUUCUUAUUUAUUUGUGAACCUCAGGAAUUUACUCGGAAGGCAUUCAAGUUACUUUAAGAAAAGUAAAGCUGUGCACAUUGAAUGUUGUUAUCUCCGUUAAGUUUUUGUUCGAAGCUGUGUUACGUGUGAGCAUGAGGGGGAGUUUACUUGUGCUUGUUUUUCUUUUGUGGUCGUGCAGGUCAGUGUGGGUCUCAUGGAACUCAAGGGAGGGAUGGUUUAAAUGAGAGCCGGCUGACUGAUCUUCUUAAUGGAUCCGAAUACGUGCUCACUUAUGAAGACAAGGAUGGUGAUUGGAUGCUUGUUGGUGAUGUCCCGUGGGAGUAAGCACAUUUAUUUCGUCUAAUAUGAAUUUUCUAUCUGUACCCGGUAGAAAUCUAAAUUAAUAGGUUAUGAUAUCAUUUCCGUUACUUAAUUCAUGCCAAUUUAUCUCUUUUAUACUUUUCCCCAUUCAUUUUGGCACAUUGAUCUUCAUAACGUAGAAAGUUGUUCAGUUAUGGACGACGUUGUACUUAUUCUAGUUAUCUGUUGGCGUAAAUCUCUGUCCUUUCAUCGUAUGUAUUUUCUAAUAUCCGAUUGUGCUUGCAUUUGAAUAUGCAUUUAAGUGAUGCUUGACUACUGAUUUUUUCUUGAUUGUUUGAAUUUCAGGAUGUUCACGGACUCUUGCCGGAGGCUGAGGAUCAUGAAGGGUUCAGAUGCAAUUGGACUUGGUAAGUACAAGUCAACAGUCAACAACUGGAACUUAGUAACUGAUUUAUCUUGCUUAUUUCUGCAUUCUGAUACGUGAACCAAAACUUAUAUGAGAUCAUCUAAAUCAUGGAUUCCUUGGUAAAGAUUUUUCAAUUUCCAACUUUUAUUUUCAAACUCGAGAACAUUUUCCCUCCACUUUGCUUAAUGUAACGAACCCACUUGAGUCUUUUGAUUCCUUAAAUGAACUUUGGCCUGAGUGCCCAACUUCAUCUUUAUGGCUUGAAAUCGUUAGUUCUACUUGAAGACUAGUACCUUUGCACUAACCAGGUAAGGGGUUUUUAUUCCGUACAGCAAUGUAGGAUAAGGAAGUCUCUACAUGUCACCAUCAGCUUGAAAAGAGAGCAUUGAAAGUUUGAUCAGGAUCAUCUUGUAGUAGUUUUGCAAUUAUUAGGCCAAAUGGUAUUUUGAUCUUAAGAACGUAGCAUGUGAUGGCAUUCUUAUUCUCAAAUUUGAAUUAAUAUUAUCUUGUAGAAAUCUUUCUAUUAUCAUCUAGAUCCAUUUAACGACUCCUUGUUUAUAUCCAAACAGGCAGAGAUUUCACUAGUUUGAACUACUUUAUUAUAUAAAAAAGAUUUCUAUCUUUUGGUUGUGAAACACCUACGGUAGUUUUCGUAUUCAGCAUAUCCUUCUUAAUUUUCCUUCAUGAUUUAUUAAAAAAAAUUGCCUGUGACAAUCGUUCUUCAUGUAUGCCGAGGAAACCAUGUUGAUUAUUUCUCACAGGGACAUUCUGUCCUGUGCUUGUUUUAGGAGAUUAUUGUCUUUCUUAUGAAUUUGUUCCCUACAAUACAAUGCUAGUAUUUAAUUCGAGCAAUUAAAACCUCUUAAUGCUAAUAUGUAGCUCCGAGGGCUGUGGAGAAGAGCAAGAACCGGAACUAGCAACAACUCCGCUAUCCUCAGUUGAAGAGCGAGCAAAUCCGGUGGCUGUAAGGGACCUCAUCAAAACUGAAACCUCUUAAGUGUUUUUAGCUUGCAAUUAUCUUAUGUCUAUCCUAUUUUGUGGUUUGCCGUUUUCACGCGUGGACUACGUCUUUUAUGUUAGAUUGCUAAGUUCUCCUAGGAACAUAAGCUCUAUUAGAUUGUCAUCAAGUCUUUGUACGCCUGCUUGUUAUUCUAUUUGUGUAAAUGCUUGGUAUGAUGCUUGCAACUACUGUGGUUUGGACACUAUUUUCGUUGAUUGCAAAUGUAUCCGCAGACUCGGUUGUUCUACUAUGGCGACUGUCCAAAGUCUAAUCCAAAGCAAUGCGAGUCAAUUUAUAUUUGAACAUUAGAACCAUCACAAUCAUAGAUAACCCUGGCUUUUCCUCUUCAAUAAAUGCCGUUUUGGUCGUCAGCCACCUAAUUCUUACGAUUUUCUGGAAAUUAUCUUUGGAAACAGUUCUGCAACAAUACAAAUUGAACUACAUAUAGUGCCCAUAUGAAGGGACUAUCCCUUUAGAGAUGUUUCUAUAUAUUAACAAAACACAUUUUAUCCCAUUGUGCCUGCUUUUUUUUUCUUCUAUAGGAAGUUGUUCUCUGAGUUGCACUCAUGUCACUGUAACCUGAAAAGCCUCAUGAAUUAGUUUGUGUCCAGUUUUCAAAUGCAGGGAUGCUUCUCUGCAGGCUUUUUUUUCCUUUUCUCCUCAUCCUCUCACUAGAACAUUGCAUUGGUAAAACUACACUCAAUGGCCUCCUUUUUUAUUAAAGUUUUGUUGUGUGUGGGGACCUUUUAUACACACUCCAACCUACAUUUUUUAGGGCUAUCAUAUUGUCUACACAUGGUAUCAAUGGCUCCCUUCUUAACCAUCAUUCAGGUAAAAAAGAAAAAAAAAAAAUAAAACAAAGAGAAAAAUAAAACAAAGAAUAUAAUAGAAGUAGAAGUAGAAGAAGGAGAAGGGAAAUGAUGGUGGUUUUGUUCCCCUCGAAUCAGGCUUUCAUUGUCCUUAGAAUCAGGCUUUUUUAAUACUAGAAAUGAUGCUUCCCUCUUCUUCUUCCUCUCAGCUUUUUAAUGAUGUGUAUAUGUUGGUGGGCAUGUGAAGCAUUUGUAAUAUAUUCCUUUAGAUCCCUAUACUAUAUUAAUGUCCCAAUAUAUAUAUAUAUAUAUAUAUGAGAAUCAGUAUCUAACCCAAUCAAGCACCUUUAUCUAUAUACCUAAUUAUGCCAAUCCUUUUUUAUCCUUCUUCUAAGGCCUUCACUUUGCAAAUCACUAUCUUUUAUCUUUUUGCAGCUGCUCAAUUCAUUGUUGUUUAACCGUUCUCUCUCUCAUGUUCUCUUUAAAGUACAUUGAACUACCUAAGAAGUUAUCAUUUGGAAAGUAGCAUGCUUAUGCUUAGAACUUAUUAGUCUCUGACACUGUUUUAUAUACCAUUUUGCUUAAGUGUUUAUGUAAAUAAAUAAAUAAAUAAACUACAAUGAAAUUCCCACUUAUCAAAUUGGAAAUAUGAGACCAUGAGACCAUAAUUACCUUUGUCACUUUCCCCAAUUUUGAAAAAAAAAAUUUAGACCAUUUUCUCUCUAUCUAUGUCAAGAGGAAAAAAAAGAAAAAGAAAAAAGGCUAUGAUAGUUAUGGGGUAUGGGUGUGGAAAUUAAGUACAUAGAUAUCUAUUUCAAGUGCUUAAUUAUUGAGAAUGAGACAAUAGCGAGGAGUUAAUAUUAUUAAUAGCAUUCAAGCCCUCAGGCCAGGUUUUUCAUUAUUACCUUUUUAUUUUUUGUUUAAUAUAAUAAUGAAAAGAGUUUUUUUUUUUUUUUUUUUUUUUUUUUUUUUUUNUUUUUUUUUUUUUUUUUUUCCCUGUCAUGAUUGGUUAGCUUAUAAUAACUUCGGCUAAAUGAUGAAUAAUAAAUAAAUAUCUUAAAUGUAAGAACUGCGAGCAAUUCGUCAUUCUCUUCUACACAAUUUCAUAUAGAAAUUUUAUACAAAAAAAAAAAGCAACAAUACAUACUUUAUUUCUCUCUUCCCUUGAAAAGUGAAAAACCAAAAAUAAACAAAACUAUCAUAGUUAGGGAGCAUGGACAGUAGGGAUGGAUAUAUCCAAAUGUUUGUAGAUAUAAAAAGAGAGUUACUAGUUAUGCUGCAAUGAAUGAGAGGCAUGUGGGUGCGGGGAUAUAUACAUACACAUAUUAUAUAUUCCCAUACACAUAUUGGGGUAAGUUUACAUUAAAUAAUUUGAAGUGAUUCAUUUUGGAAUUUAACUACUACAAAGACCCCUUUUUAACUACAUUUGGAUCCCAGGAUUUAAGGGUCCUGCUUUAAACUUUGUGAACCACAUGUUUUUGUUUUCUCUUUUUUUUCUUUUUUUUUUUUUGGUCACUCAUAUUUAUCCUUUGUACAUACACAUAAAUUUGUCCUAUGUGAGGCCAAAUUAUUGAUGUAACCUCUCACUUUGGCUUUAAUAUUCUUGGGUGUUGCUGGGUGAGGUUGGUAUCUUGUUGGGGUGUUACGUGGGUUUGUCUUUUGUUUGCAUUUAUCUUGGUAAUAAAUAAAAAAAGAGAGGUAAGUUUUGGAUUAGAUUAUGAUAAUGUUCUUAAUUAUUCACAGUUGACCUUUGAGCUUCAGAAAAUCUUAAAAAAAAAAAAAAAAAAGAGUCAGGUGAAGAGAGCAUUGACAAAUCAAGUUUGAAGAUUUAAUCUUAGCCAUUCAUCACGUUUUAAAUAAAAAAGAGCAAAAAUUAAUAAACAAAGAGUAUAAGUUAGUUAGUGUCUCUGACAAUUAUAUUACUCAUGUUGGUUUGAAGGUCGGAUGUCAACGGAUACGGAUAUAUGAAAUUUUAUCCGAAUUCGGACUCGAACGGAGUAGAUUUGUUCGAAGUUAAACGAAUAUGAUUUUAAAUAUGAGAUCAAAAAUAAAUGUCCGAUGGAUAUGAAUUCGAAUAUGGAUUUGAAUUUAAAUGAAGUUGGUAUUUGUAAUAUAAAAUUUUAAUUUUUAAAUUUAUAUUAUACUUUUAAAUUUGAAUCUAAAUUGAAUUUUUAAUCUUAAAGCCAAAUUUUAAUUUUUUGAGUUAAAUUGAAAUUUUGAAUUGGAACUAAAGGUUUUUAUUUUAAAUUUAUGUUUUAUAUUUAAACAAUUGAAUUUAAUUUAUAAUUAAGUUUUAAAUGUUGUUUUGAAUUUAAAAUUUAUAGUUUGGUUAUAAUUUGAAAUCCAAUUAUUGUUGUAGGUAUCUGAGAAAGUCGUACUAUUCUUAGUUGAAUAAAACCGGCUUUUGUAGACCAAAAUAUUUUGCAAAGAUCAAAAAUAUUCUUUAAAUAGGUACUUGGUGAAUGGUACCUAUACCUUUAGUAGGGUGGCAACCAAGCUCGCUGUUUCGCGACAGCCAGCUCUUGUGUUCGCUCAAAUGACUUCGAGAUCGCUCGCAUCGUUAGUAAAACGACCGAACGACGAGCUGGAUUUUUCAGAAGCUCGUUUAAUAAACGACCGAACACGAGCUAGGUCAGCUCGCUCGUGUUCGGCUCGAUAACAGCUCGAUUAUAUUUAUUUAUAUUAAUAAUUUAUAAUAUUAUAUAUAAAUUAUAUUGUAUUAUAAAUGUAAAAUACAGAUUAUUAAUUUAUUUUUAGCCAAUUUUAUAAAAAUUGAGCAUAUUUAUAAACGAGACCCAUAGGCCCAUUUAUAUUUAGAGUUGCUUAUUUUUCACUCAUGGCCCAUGGCCCAUUGCCCAUGAAAUAAGUUCCUCUUUUAUUCCUCAAGGGCCAAAUCACCUCUCUCUUUCUCUCUCUCUCAGGGUGCUCCAGAUCGAGUACCAAACUAGCCAUGGGCUGGCGGCGGAGGCAGGCGAUGGGGAUGCUGCAGGCGGAUGCGCGGCGGCGCAAGAGGUACGCGGCGCUGGUGUCGCGGAGGAGAGCCCGAGCACGUGCGGAAGGCGCACGAGGCUACUUCGCAUACUUCGCGAAACUCCUCGCGACCACAAAACAAUGGGCGAUGACAAUGGUGAGGAGAGGAGGAGGAGGUGUGGGUGCCGUAUAGGGGCGCGAGUGAGCUCCCUCAAUAGGAAGGGGGUUCGAGCGUUUUGAGGUUUACAAUGGUUCGUGGUGACGGGAGCUGCAACGACCCCACACGACGAUCCUUGAUCCCGACCUCGCGUCCCUCCUCCAAGAUGCCAUCGCCCCUCGCAAGAAGGUGCUCGGCAUCUGCUUCGGCCACCAGGUACAGUAAACGACCGAACACGAGCCGCUCGAUUAAGUUUCGAGUCCGAUCACGAGCCAGAGUUUUCGAGCUCGUUACGAGCUCGAGCCAACACGAACGAGCCGACCUAGAAGACAACGAUCCGAGCUCGACUGCUCCAGCUCGCUCGAGCUCGGCUCGUUUACAGCCUACCUUUAGGUAGUGUUUGUUCGGGAAUAGGGGCGAAUAAGCCCUUGUUCCCCCUUUUUUCCCAACGCAAUUUUUGCUCCCGGGAACAGUAGUUUCCGGAAUCUGGAAACUAGCUGGUAUAAGGCUGAACUGCUGUUCCACUCGUUUCUGGAACAAACUUGUUCCUUGAUGAGAAAUAAAUUAAUUAAAAAUCUAAAUUUAAUUUUAAUGGCAAUAAAUUAUUAAUUAAUCUAAUUAAUAUAUAUAAAUUCAAUUAUUUAUUACUUAAUAAUUAAAUAAUUUAAAUAAUUUAUUAUUUAUAAUAUAAAUAUUAAUAAUUAAUAAUUAUUAUUAUUAAUUAUUAUUUAUAAUAAUUAAUAAAUAAUUAAUAAUAUCAUUAUUUUUUUAUUAAUAAUUAUUAUCUUAAUGACAAUCGAUAUAUUAUUAAUUUAUUAUUUAUAAUUAAUAAUUAUUAAUAAUUAAUUAAUAAUUCUUAUUCUUAAUAAUUAGAUAAUGGAUAUUAUAUAAUUUAUUAUUUAUAAUUAAAUAAUAAAAAUUAUUAUUAUUAAUUAAUAAUUAUUAAUAAUUAUUAUUUAAUAAUAAUUAGAUAAUUGAUAUUAUUAUUUUAUUAUUUAUAAUUAAUUAUUAAUAACUAUUAAUAAUAAUUAUUAUUUAUAAUUAAUUAUCAAUAAUUUAUUUAUUAUUUAUUUUUAAGUAAUAUUUUGAUGUUAAUUAAUUAGAUAAUAAAAUUUUAAUUUCAAAUUAUAACUCUUAUUCCUCUUGUUCCAAUCUAACCAUCCAAACAUUAUUUACCUUAUUCUUAGGAACAACCCAAUUUUCAUCCAAACGCAAAAUUGGUCUAGUUUCUGUUUAUACCUGAACUUGUACCUAUCCCUAGAACUAGCAGUUCUUACUUAUACCCGAACCAAAUAGGUCACCUUUAUAGAGUCAUAUUAAAUAUAAACCAUCUAUUAAAAAAAAUAAAUGGUCAAAAUUUAUAUGAUGUAUUGAAGUAUUACUUUAGAAAAUUAUUGAUUUUGAAUCCUUUCAAUCGUUGGAUAAUAAUAUUAAAAUACCACAAUUUAUUUUCUAGAUACUUUAAAUAUGCUAAAUCAAGUCAAAUGAAGCCCAGCGACAUCCAAUCCCACGCCUCCUUCGCCUUCAGCGACUACUUCGCUUCCCCGCCCCCCGUCCGCGACUUCUCCGGACCCGCCGCCCUCACCUCCCUCAACCCUUCCCCAGGUCCAGCUUAAUUUUUGUUUAAUUUUCCUCGUUAUUGUUUUAAUUAGUUCAUUACUUUCAUUUUGUUUUUUUUUUUUUUACUUUCUUUCUUUUUUUCUUUUUGUGUGUGUGUGGGAAUGUUACAUUCUUUUUGUGUGUGGGGGAAUGUUACAGGUCAUGGUAGCUGCAAGUAUAUUCCCGUCCAGGUUCGCGCCCUCGCCCUUCUUUCGCUUUCUCCGUAACGUAUUCUCGCUUCUUUAUCACUUACCUGCUACUGAAAUGUGGUGGUAAAUUAAGCUCCUUUCUUUUUCCGUUUUAAGUUCAACCAAAAAUGAAUCACUUUAAUCAUAGUAUAUCUCAUAUAUAUAUUUCUCAAUCAAUAACACGUAAUCUUGUUGGCAGCAUGUUUGCAAAGCCAGAGUAAACUCUAUUCGUUGUUAGUAGUGACUAUAUAUUACCAAACACGGGUUGCAAAUUGAUCAAAACCGAAAGAAAACGAUGAGAUCGAAAGCGUCGGGCCAACGAAUGUAAAACAUUGUGAAAUUUGUAUGCGGACAUAAGUAUUUUUCUGCUCAGAACACACUUUCUAUUGCAUAUUAACAAAGAGAAUGCAUGUGUGAUAGGUGGAUGUUAAGAAACAUAUCGCAGCCUAUUCGAACAAGAUUGACUAGUUUGAUAAUCUGCUGGUGGAUCAUUUGGGAUUUAAGGAAUAAUGCUAUUUUUAGAAAUGAUUAUGCAUAUCCUAUGAUGACGGUAACUAAGAUAUUGAGAUUGGCCACCCAGUGGGAAGAUUUUCUGUCGACUAAAAGGCAACUUUCUUAGUGUUUUUUUUUCUUUCGCUUCUGCCGAGGUCUCUUUACCUCACCUAUGUUGCUUAAUUCAUAUUUUUAAUGAAUGAAACAGAUAGUGUGCUACAUUUUUUUCAAAAAAAAAAAAAGCAUGCAUUUAAAAUAAACACAGAGCGUGCUUGAUUCGCUUCUUUUUCAUUCUGGAAUCGGGAUCGGAAUGGGCGAAUCUGUUUGUGAUUAUUUGGUACGCGGAAAUUCCAUUCCGAUUUCGAUUUCCGAGUUGAAUGAGAAUCCCUCAAUCAUCAUUUUUUCCAAUCCGGCUUAGAAAGCCGGAUUAGAAGUUGAAUUCGGACGGAAUGAAUAUUUAUUCAGAUUAAAUUUAAUUUUUUAAAUUUCUUAAUUAAAAUAUGAGUUUAAAUUUAGAAAUUAAAUUUAUAAUUUUAAAUUUUAAUUUAAAUUUGAAUUAAAAAUUAAAAUUUAAUCAAGGAUUUCGAAUCUAACUUAUGAAGUUGAAUUUAAAUUAAAUUUUAAUUUAUAUAAAGUUUUAUUCAAAUUUUAUUUAAAACUUAAAUUAAAUUUAUGGAUUCAAAUUAAAAUUUAAAUUGUAAUUUUAAGUUUGAAUUUGAAUAAAUCAAAAUUUAGUUUUAUAUUNAUUAUAUUAGUUAUUACCAUCAAAUAGAAAAGAUAAUUAAUAGAUGAUUAUCCUUUCGGUUUUCAAAUAAAUUAAAGUUUAUCUCUCUCUCUCCAAUGUGUAAACGCGUAAACGCAUGAAAGAUUAGUAGGCCUUAUUGACUAUUUGUAUUUUUUCCAAACACAUAACUCACACGCGAAUCCAAUAGAAUAACAUGUAAAAAAAAUAUAUAACCUAGGAAAACUAUUUGCACUUUCGCCCCCCCCCAAAAAAAAAAAAGGAGUUCGUAUGUAGGGGUGUCAACGAACGGAACACGAGCGAGUUGGAGUUGGCUCGUGUUCGGCUCGUUUCAUAAACAAGCCGAACACGAGUUAGCUCGUUAACGUAUUGAGCCGAAAAAUUUGGCUCGUAUUUGGAUCAUUUAUUAACGAGCUGAUGACUUGUGAAUAAGAAUUUAAAAGAAUUAAAAAAUAUAUAUAUAUGAUUUUAAAUUCAAUCUAAAUAUAAAAUCCGACUUAAUUAUAAAAUAGUUUAUUUAUAUAUAAAUUUUUAGCCAUGAGGUCAAAAUAUAAUUAACAGGUAAGAUCUUAUAAUUCAUAUAUAUAUAUUUUUUAAUUCUUUUAAAUUCUUAUUCACAAGUCAUCAGCUCGUUAAUAAAUGAUCCAAAUACGAGCCAAAUUUUUCGGCUCAAUACGUUAACGAGCUAACUCGUGUUCGGCUUGUUUAUGAAACGAGCCGAACACGAGCCAACUCCAACUCGCUCGUGUUCCGUUCGUUGACACCCCUACAUACGAACUCUUUUUUUUUUUUUGGGGUGAUUUUUCUUCCCCUUUUCAUAGAUUGUAUGGUAAGGAGAGACAAUACUAUUAUAUUAUAAGCGAAAGUGCAAAUAGUUUUCCUAGGUUAUAUAUUUUUUUUACAUGUUAUUCUAUUGGAUUCGCGUGUGAGUUAUGUGUUUGGAAAAAAUACAAAUAGUCAAUAAGGCCUACUAAUCUUUCAUGCGUUUACGCGUUUACACAUUGGAGAGAGAGAGAUAAACUUUAAUUUAUUUGAAAACCGAAAGGAUAAUCAUCUAUUAAUUAUCUUUUCUAUUUGAUGGUAAUAACUAAUAUAAUUUGAAAUUAAUAAAACCUUUUCUUUUGGUUAUCAUAUAAAAAUUUUAAUAAAUCAUAUAUAAUCUUACCAACAUAAAAUAUCCUAAUAAUUCAUAUACAAUUCUAACAAACUAAUUUCUUUCCAUAUAAUCUUAACAAAUAUAUAUAAAAGUUUCUACAAGCAUAUACAAUCUUAAUAAGCUAAAAAAUCUUAACUACCAAGCAAUACAAUCUUAAUAAUAAAAAUAUUCUAAUAAUCUUCGUACAGUCCAAUCUCACAAACAAAAAUCCUCACAAAAGAUAAUAAUAUGAAAACGGUGAAUAAUUGAUCGCCCAACCUAUCCAUAUAAUAUUAACAAUCAAAAAAAUUUUAAUAAUUAAUCUACGCACAAUCCAACCUCACAAAAAAAAAUCCUCACAACCAAUAUAGAAAAAAGAUAACUGUACGAAAACGGUGACUUUCUAAAGGCGGUGAAUAAUGCACUGCUUUUCUUAUUUUUAUUCACGUUUGACAAAUUAGAAAUUUUUAUAAAAUUAUUUUUUUAAAAAAAGUGCUAUGCAAGCAUCUCCUCUGUUAAAACAAAAAAAAAUCCUGAGUUAAAAUUUAAUAAUAGUUUAUAAAUAUUUUACUAAGAUAAUACAUAAAUAUCCUAAAGUACAAUUAACCUUACUAACCAAUGAAAACUGAAAUAACAUAUUCAUCCCUCGCUGCAGAUUCUCCGGCAGUAAUUCUAACCAAGAAACGCAUCCGACCGACAAAGCGGGCACGUCGAGUGCUGGCGAAGCCAAGGGUCGACGCAGUCCGCAUGAAACAUGUGCGCGCACACCGGCAAUAAUCUCACCAUAUCCCCCGCCGUCAAUGAACCUAAGCAGACGGCGCAAACCGUCCGACCGUCACCGCCUCUGCCGCCACCGCCAUCUUGUCGUAAUGCAAACGCAGGAUGCACUUGUCGGGCAGAAGAAUAGAGCACACGGUCUAGCAAACUACUGAUGCGUCGACGACACUGUUGCAAUGCCUCUCUAUAGUUUUCCAGAGCGCAAAUCCCGGCAAAGACAAUGGCGACGGCGGGGACGAAAGCGUCGCUGCCCGAAAUACCCGGAGCAAAGAUCACUAGAAACAGAGGAAGUAUGCCCAUAAUGUGCACCAUCACCGGGUCCAUCUUGCACCCCUAGCUGGAGCAACGGAUCUAACUUGUCCUAGAUCACCCUCUAUAUAUAUAUAUAUAUAUAUAUAUAUAUAUAUAUAUAUAUNGAUUAAAGAUUAGUAGAUUCUCACCACACUUGGAUUUGGAUUAUAAAUUAUAGAGAUUGCAAUCCUUUUGAUUGUAGAGUUAGCUCUUAGAUCCGUAGUUAUCUAAAUUGAGAGUAAAUCCUAAUCAAAUUAGGAUGAGAUAUAAUUUAAAUUUAACUUGGUCUAUAUAGAUUAUAAGUAGGAAUAUAAUUCUAAUUGAGAUAGAAUUAGAACUUGUGUUUAAAAGUUAUGCAUUAUAUUUAUGCAUGCUAUGACCUAGUUAAUGACGCCACGAUUCUAAUUAAGCCAUACACGUUAAAGACAGUUGAUCAAAACCCAAUUGCAUUGGUGGUCCGUGGGCUGAGAUGACUCCCCUGGUGCUAAUUAAUUAAGUUGAUCUCUUGAGCCGCAUUUUACUGCGAGAGAACCAACCUUUUUUUCUUUUUUUUUUUUUUUGUGUUACGUACGGUAAGGAGGAGCCGUAGCAUUAAUUACAACGCGUCUUUCUCGUUUCGGAUCUAAUUAAAUCUUCGAGUGAUCAUAUUUGUACUCCGUCUUUUGAUAUUAAUAAAGUAUUUGCUCCGUCUUCGUCCGUGAACGUAAACCGUUGGCCGAACUACGUUAAUCUUGAUGCGCUAGCUCUUUCCUUUUUCUUUUCUCUUUCUACAUUAACUAUUUUUGUGGAUCUACUUUUUACCGUUUCGAUUUUAACAAUAAAUAUAGCUGGAUUUUAUAAGUAUAGAUACAAUGGGAUUUCUUGAAAACAAGUGGUAGAAUAAGAAUAUUCUGGGAUGCCGAGUUCAUAAGAUCAUCAUCUAAUAAGAGAUCCUCGAAUAGAAUUUUUUUAUUUCUUUUCCCUUCAUUCAACAAUCAUUCACUCGCCCUAAUUUUUUUUUUUUCCUGCUUAUGUAACCACAACUUGGUCUACAACUUUCUCUCUGUGUCUCAGGUUUUUCGUGAUAUUUGUGUAUACAUUUUCUUAACUUUCUGGUAAAUAUAUUGAGCGACAUGAACGGACCACGCAUCAUAGUUAAUCAAUAUUCGUGGGUGGAACUUCUCUAUUUUGAGAAGCAGCAGUUAAAUAAUUGGCAAGCAAAAAAGAUUAAAUCUUUUGUUUUAGUUGAAAGCUAGAAUGAGCCUAAUUAGAUCCAAAUUUGAGUCCCGCUGCUGUUGUUACUAAUUAGCUGUUGCAGGAUCUUAAUAAAAAAAAAAAAGAUAACCUGUUUGUGCUUCUUCAAACAUCUUUUUACUCAUACAACACUUUUGCAGAAACUCCAUUGGGGCUUAACAAGCCUUCGAUGUGAAAAUAUAUAUCGAAGUUCGUUUUUCUUUUUCUUGUAGUUCAUCUGCACACAAUUGUGUUGGGUUUCUCCAAAAUAUGAUCUUACAUUCAUAUUUGUACUUUAUGCGGUCUCCAUGCAGGGUCAUGUACUCAUCAUGCAGGAUGCUGAAUCUGGUAAUUUGAAGUGUAAAUGGAGGAGAUUUUCUUUAGUAAUGUGAUCUUUGUUCAUGUUUUGGAUUCGAAGAUUGUGUGUAUUGUUCUCUGCAAGAUAAAUGUUGUUCUUUUUUUUUCAGAAUCCUAACUAAUGUAAAAUUAGUAAUGUGAUUUUUCUUCUUUGUAAUGUAUUCGAAUAUGUAUCCACAUACAUCUGUAAACUGAAGUACCAUGAAAUGUAAUAUUUUGGUUGUAAAAAAAUAAAUACUUUUUCCGUGUCUUUUUUUUUUUUGGGUCAGCAACUUGUGUAGAAUCUCAGUACUAUCCUGAUAUUACUUUGUCUUUGAACUUGUUACUGCAACAUUGUAGUCACUGAACUUUCUCAUAUGUUGCGAUUUUAUUCUCUUUUCGCAAAAAAAAAAAAGAAAAAAAAAAGAAAAAAAGAAUCGUGGUAUAUGUGGGAACAUAUUCUAAUAAUCCAACUAAUGCUUUAGAUUUUUUGUAAUAUCUAUUGUUUUUUCUUGUGGUUGUUGUAUUAGUAAUUUUAUGUGACAUUUUUGGUCAGUGUGCAUCAAUUACUUAAAUUUCUCAACAUCAUAAUGUUGAUACAUUAAUAAUAUAUAAGAGUAGUAUUUUUGAGAGAUAGGUAGCAUGCUAUCCACUUCCUUUAUUUUAUUUAGAAGUAAACUUAGCUAGAAAUGCGAAUCAACUAGGAUUCGAACUUGAGUCUCGGGUACCAACCACCAAGCCCUUUGUCACUUGCUCUAGUGACAGUUGGUCUCUACAUCAUAAUGUUGAUACAUUAAUAAUAUGAAGUUAUUCGUGUAUUGCGGCAGACUAAUGCUAUAUAAGAUAGAAGAUUGAUAAAAUAAAAAUUUUAAAAUUUUUUCACUAGCCAUGAGAUAUCAAUAAAUAAAGAUAAUAUAUUAAUAUAUACAGAUAGAAAAGAUGAAACAAAUAUAAAUACAGAUACAACAAAAUUUAUAAUUUUAACAAAUAAAUUAUAUAUUAUAAUAAUGAAAGAAACAGCAAUACAGUUACUACUCCAUCGCACCUUGAUCGCACUGUCGAUAUCGGGGAGGUGAAUCUCGAUCUCCACAUCGCGUUCGCCUCUAUUGUCGGCGUUAAGCUCCUCCUUGGUCAUGGCCACGUCUAUUCCGGACUGAUCCCCUCAAACCCACCACUUAUUUCUCCUCAUCGACUCCAAAUACUUUGCCGCUUCCUUGCUUCGUGUCACGUCGCGAUCCCCCGAACCCUAAUUUCAAUCUAUACACAAUUUAAAAAACAAGUUAAGAAAAUUACAAAAUAUUAACCUUUCUUGUGCCCCAAAAAAAAAGAAAAAAAAAUGUAAGGAAAAAGAGUAUAAAGAUAUUUUAUUUUACUCGUCUUUUUUUUGUGAAAGUGAAUUUCAAUCUCCCUGUCACCUUUGCUGCCAUUGUCGGCAUCGAGUUCCUCUUUGGUCACGGCCAUUGAUUCCAUACGGAUCCCCUACACCCAUCGCUUCUUCUCCUUCAUCGAUUCUAAAUCCAUCGCCGCUUCUCCUAGUCGUGUCGCGCCCGCGAAACGUUAAUUUCGAUCCUAACACAAUUUUUUAGAAAAAUUAAGAAAAUUAUAAAAUAUGAAUCCUUCUUGUGCGCCAAAGAAAAAAGAAAAAAGAAAAAAAAUGUAAAGAUAUCUUAUUUUACUUUUUUCUUGUAAAAGUGAUUUGUCUAGAUGACAAUGAACCAUAUGAAUACAUUAAUUGUGAGAUGGGCAGGUGGGAAGACGAAGCAUCGGACAAAGAUUGUGAGUGGGAAAGUGAAACAUCAGGAAGUGGGAUGGAGGAGAAGGCAAGGUGAAGGAAGAACCGUCACGUGGCAAAUUUUAUGAGAAAUAAUGUAAAGGAAUAAACAAAUUUUAUGAAAAAUAAUGUAUAUAUAUAGGUAUAGAACUAUAGAUUAGUCUUGGUUCAGAAUCCUCCUUUUCUUCUGAUUGAAGGGAAGGGUCUUCUUCGGCGGAUCUCUCUUGUUCCUGUUUUGUCUCCUUCAUUUUGGAGUUAAUAUAUAGCAGAUAGAUAUUUAAUAUCUUAUUGAACCGAUAAAAACUGCACCAUUAAAAUUUAAGGAAUAGCAAAUUGCAAUACGAAUAAUUAAAUACAAAUCAAAAUGCAAUUAAGCUAUAGAUUUAAUCAGCUUCAAUGUGUAAUUGCAAAGAUCUCUAGAAUUUUAUUCAAAGUGGUCCCCAUCAUCGUGCACUUGUAUAUGACAUAGGCAACAUCUCUAUCUAACCGUGUUUGGAAUCUAGUACUCACCCUGAUACUAGAUUUUAAAAAUCUGCAAUCCAUAUUGAUACCGACUGUCCUAAAUUCGGUACCAUUGUUGAAAUUUCGUAACAAAAGUAUUAAAUCGGAUUUUUACCAUAAACUCAGCAAAUAGCUGACACAAUCGAUCAUAAAAAAGAAAAAUUCAAACAGAAAAUAUGAAUAAAAUAAAAUUUACUAAAUAAAAAAUGAAUUAAACCUGAGCCCUAUUCUAUUGAGUAGUUUCACCGGGAUCACCCGUCUCUCGUUGUCUAUAAAAUAGAAGACUACUCUUUUUGAACUCUCUCUCUCUCUCUCCAACUUGGUACGACUUCAACUCUUUAGUGCUAUAUAUAUAUAUAAUACUUAACCAAAGAUAUAUCCAAAUCUAAUACAAUUAGGAAUCCUAGUCUAAUUAAAUUUUAAAUCUAAAUUAAUUUAUCUUCAAACGAUUAAAAUAUUUAUUCUAAUUCAACUAGGAAUAAAUUAUAAAUCUAACCCAACCCUAACAAACAGCUAAAAUUUUUUGGGUUGGGCUUGAGCCUUUGAACAUCCACGACUCCAUGCUCUCUCUAGCUUCUCCCGGGAUGAAGCCUAAGUUGAUGAGAUUGAGGGGUUAAUUUGACCAAGCUAAUAGUGAUGAUGGUUAUAAAACUAAUAUACAAGGCCUAUAACAUUUCCUCUUCAAUUUUAAAUAAAUUGCUUUACUUCGUGAAUUAUGUCAUGUAUAUAAUUUUUUAUUAUAGGUAAACUCCAAAUUAGCAAAUAAGCUUUUUCUAGAAUGCCUUUUCUUUCGCAUUUGACGAGGUACUCAUCUAUUAAAAAGAUGACAAAUACAGUGUCAACAAAAAAAAUAACGCAAAGCGUCCAAUGGUGGCUGUGGUAGCAGGUUACAGAACGAGGUGGCGAUGGAGGUGGGCAGCAGCGGCAUGCAGUUUCACCACCGUAGAUAUCAAAAAAGAGCCUAGGUCUCUGUGGCGGGGAUGCGGUUCUUUCUCAAUGGUAUAGUGCAUUCUUCAUCUUUUUUUUUGUUUUAGUGUUAUUUGAUUUUAUGCCGUGAGUAAUUAUUUAGUAUUAAUAUUUUAUUUUUAAAAUUUUUUUUGAACUAUUUGGGAUUCAAUUCGUACCAUUUUUUUACCUUUGUUUUAUGUCUUUUUCUUUUAUUUUCUGUUAGAUUAAAUUUUGUGGAGUAAACUAUAUGGAUAAGUCGCUACAUUAUUUGGAUAUUACAACAAAUGUGUCAUUACCAAUAAGAUAAACUGCAUUCUGAUUAGGUUUUAGAAACUUCAUCGAAAUCAAAAAAUUCAAUAACGUAUCCAAAAUUUUGAAAAAAUAAUUCUCAAAAUGUAGUUAUAUAUUGAUGUUUUUUCUUUACAUUUUUAUUUGUUUAUUUAAUUCGCAAAUUUUAAUAUGAUAAUUUCGUCUUUGUUUCUUUAUGUAAUUUACAAAUUUUUACUAUAAUAAUUUCUAUCCGCUGCAUCGCGCGGGUCUCUACACUAGUUAUUAAUUAAUUAUUAAUUAACACUGCAAUUUUUGACAAAUCUAAAUAGAAUUAAAAAACAAAAAUUCAGUGAAACUUAUUUUAAAGGGUUAAUUUCAUACAGAUCCCUACAAACAUAGUGAAUGACAAAUAUAUUCCUACAAAAUUCAACUUUCAUAUUUGUUCAUGCAAAAGUCCUAAUAUUUUCAAAUUUGUUUCUCUGAUUUAUUACCGUUAGAAAACUAUUUAUAUUUCUAAUUUUGCCAUCACAAAUAUAUACAUCUAAAAGUCAUAACAGUAUGAGUGCGGCUGGUAUGCUUCUUGAAGCACGGAGCGCUCCGUGCUUCCAAGUCAUUUUCGAUGUUGGGACUUUCGAAUCAACGAUCAGUUCCGUUAGAUUUGAUUUAGAGUAUUUUAAGUAUUUAGAAAAUAAUUUUUGCGAUUUUUUGAUAUCAUUUGCCUAGUGAUCGAAGUGGUUCAAAAUCAACGGCUGAAAAUAAAAAUAUUGAUCUUGUUUUAUAUAGUAUAAAGAAAUUUCUAUCAAAAUUUCACGUGAUUUGAAUAUUUCUACACCGUUAAACUUGCAAAUGGCUCAACGCGGCCAUUAAAAUUAUUAAUUUUGAGCCCCUUGAUUACUAGGCAAAUGAUAUCGAAAAAUCACAAAAUUUAUUUUCUUGGUACUUCAAAUACUCUAGAUCAAGUUUAACGGAGCCGAUCGUCGAUUUGAAAGUCCCAACAUCGAAAACGACUUGGAAGCACGGAAGGCUCCGUGCUUCCAGAAGCAUACCAACUAACUCUAACAGUAUAAUAUAAAAAGAUAAAAAUGUCAAAAACUAUUCAGGAUUAAGUAUUUAACCUAUGAUUUACUAAUUUUUUCUAAUUGAUUCUAACGGCAGCGAUAUAUUUUAAAACAUCGGGACUUUUGUAGAGACAAAAUAUGAAUGUUGAAUUUUGUAGGGAUAUAUAUAUAUUUGCCAUUCACUAUAUUUGUAAGGGUCUGUACGAAAUUAACCCUAUUUUAAAAUAAUAAAAUUUAUUUGCAUUUUCUUUUAUUAAUUGUUCAACAAGUGAUUAAAAAUCACUUUUACUGUGCUUACUUUUUCUAAUUUUUCUAAAACUACAGUUUUAUUUUGUUAGGAGAAAAUAUCAUAAGAGAGGGAUAAAAUGUUUGGUCCAGUAAAAUAAUAUGAAAUAAUUAUUACACAGUGGUCCCCAAUCUUUGCACCAAUUUUUACCUCGGUCCCAACUUUUUUUUUUUUACAAUUGAUUCCUAAUCUUUUGAUUUUAUUACAAUUACGUCCCAAUCGUUAAAAAAAUUGUUAAAAUUAAUUGAAUCGCCACGUUAGCGCUUAUUUGAUAUCCUUAAUUUUCAUGUUAAUUUAAGUCCCUAAACUUUACAUGUUUUUCACUUUAGUUUCUAAAAAUAAAAAUUCAAAAUUUUAAAUUUAAAUUUAAAAAUAAUACUAAAAUUAAAAUUUUAAACUAACAAAAAAUUAGAAUUUUGAAUUUGAAUUUAAAGCUGAAUUUAAAUUUUGAAUUUAAAUUCGCAUUUUAAAUUUAAAUUUUUAAUUGAAUCUAAAUUUUGAAUUCAAACUUAAAAUUUUGAUUUUGAUUUUGAUAUUUCAAUUUACACUUAAAAUGAAAGUUUUGAAACUGAAAUUUAAAUUUAAAAUCUGAAUUUAAAUUUAAAAUCAUAUUCAAAAUUUUGAUUUUAAAUUUUAAAUUUGAAUUUAAGAUUUGAUUUCAAUUCUAAAUGUGAAUUUAAACUUCGAAUUCAAAUUCACAUUUUGAAUUUGAAAUUUCAAAUCGAAGGUUGAAAUUAAAUUAGAAUUUCGAAUUCGAAAUGUGAAUUUGAAUUUAAAAAUAAAAAAUUUAAAAUUAAAUACAAAAUUGGAUUUCGAAUUCCAAUUUAAAUUUGAAUCCAAAAUCAAAUUUUAAAAUUUAAAUUUAAAAUCUUAAAUUAAAAAUCUUGCUUUGAAUUUAUAAAUUUAAUAGGUUAAUUACACCAUUGGUUCCCAACCUUUGUACCGUUUUUUAAUUUGGUCCCCAAUCUUUUUUUUUUUUACAAUCCAUUGACACAACGCCACCAUGGCACUGACGCGGCAACUCUGUGGCGCUGACAUAACGCCUCCGUGGCACUUAUAUAUAUGGUGCUGACGUUGUAUUUUUCGUCAAUUUUAACAUCUAUUUAACGGCUGAGACUUAAUUAUAAUGAAAUCAAGAGAUUUAGGAUUUGAUUGCAAAAAAAAAAAAAAAUUGGGACCAAAUUAAAAAACGGUGUAAAGAUUAGGGGCCAAUGGUGUUAUUAACCCAAUAAAUUAUUUUGUCUCGAAAAAUUUAAAUCAUGUUAAACAAUUUUACUAAUAUUUGAGUUUGUGAGUUUGAGACUUUUUAAUAGAAUCUAAAAUGUAGGUGUGAAUUAAAUAAAAUAAUUAAAUAAAGCUAGGAGAGGCUUUUUAAUAGAAUCUAAAAUGUAGAUUUGAAUUAAAUAAAAUAAUUAAAUAAAGCUAGGAGAGGCUUUUUAAUAGAAUCUAAAAUGUAGAUUUGAAUUAAAUAAAAUAAUUAAAUAAAAUUAAGUGUGUAAUAGGAUUUAAAGUCCGAACUCAGAAUAUAAUAAAUAGCUGACCAUAUUCUCUCCUUAGGUCUAGGAAUGUCAAUGGGUAUGGAUAUCCAAAAUUUUAUCCGAACCCGAACUCGAAUAAAAUGGAUAUAUCCGAUGAAUAUGGAUAUAGAUUCGGAUAUGGAUAUCAAAAAUAGAAAUCCGGCGGAUAUGGAUUCGGAUAUGGAUUCUUACUAUACCCGACCUGAACCUGAACCCGAAAUUAUUUUGUAUUAUAUAUAUAUAUAUAGAGAAUUAGACUGGAAUACUAUUNAAAUAUAACAUCAAAUAUAUAUAUAUAUAUAUAUAUAUAUAUAUAUAUAUAUAUAUAUAUAUAUAUAACACCCGAAUAAAUGGAUUCGGAUAUGAAUAUAAAAAAUAGAAACCCGACGGAUAUAGAUUCGGAUAUGGAUUUUGAUUGUACCCGAUCCGAACCCGAACCCGAUUCGAAUCCGAAUUUAUUAUAUAUAUAUAUAUAUAUAUAUAUAUAUAUAUAUAUAUAUAUAUAUAUUUGAUGUUAUAUUUGAAUUUGUAUUUAAAAAAUUUAGAUUUAAUAUAAUAUAUUUUGAAAUAUUGAAAACAAAAAUAAUUGUUUCGGAUUCAAAUUUUCGGGUUCGGGUUUGAGUUCGGAUUCGGAUUUCGGGUUUUGGUCGGGUUCGGUUUUGAAUAUGGAUUUUUAAAAUCCGUCGGAUUCGGAUUCGAGUUCGGGUUUCGGGUUUGGAGUCCGGUUUGGAUAACCCGAAAUUAUUUUGUAUUAUAUAUAUAUAUAUAGAGAAUUAGACUGGAAUACUAUUAAUAGUAAAACGCUCUCUUUACUAUCAAGUUUUUAACCCUUGGAUGAAAAAUUGUAGGGUCAGGAUAAUAUUAGUCGGUUAGAGUUGAGUGGUCCCCCUAGGGUUGAGUGGUCCCCAUUGGGUUAUAAUAUUUAACCCAAUGAUUAAAAAUAAUGAAAAGAGUUGAUCCAAAGGUUAAAAACUGGUAGCAACAAUGAAAUUUUGCUACUAAUAGUAGCCCAGUCCAACUAUAUAUAUAUAUAUAUAUAUAUAUUUGAUGUUAUAUUUGAAUUUGUAUUUUAAAAAUUUAGAUUUAAUAUAAUAUAUUUUGAAAUAUUGAAAACAAAAAUAAUUGUUUCGGAUUCAAAUUUUCAGGUUCGGGUUCGGGUUCGGAUUCGGAUUUCGGGUUUUGAUCGGGUUCAGUUUUGAAUAUGAAUUUUUAAAAUCCGUCGGAUUCAAAUUUGAGUUCGGGUCUCGGGUUUGGAGUCAGGUUCGGAUUCGAAUUUUUAAAAAUUCGUCCGGAAUCCGACCCGUUGACGUAUCUACAUAGGUCCAACCCACCACCGACGCCGGAAUUAGCACGUGGUACGUAACGUACGUUAACUAUAUAAACUAAUAUAUUAAAAUAGUUAAAUUAAUUAUUUAAUAAAUAGAGAUAUUUGAAUAGUCUUUUGGUAAAUAGAGAUAGUACUAGCUAAGGGCCGCGUAUCACGGCGAGGAGAAAAUACUUCAGUUAUUUUUUUAAAAUAUAUUAUUUUAUGAGUAUAUAAAAAAAUAUAAUAGUAUACUAAAUAGAAAAUAUACUUCCACAAGUCAGAUAUAAUAUUUCGCAUUAACUUUAUAUAAAACACAUUCAUUUCAAAAAUUUUACAAUAUUAAAUAAAAUGAAAAUUAUAUUAAUUUUUUUUAGUAAUUUUUAUUAAUUAUAGAUUGUAUUUAUUAGAUGAAAUUUUAAUUUUGUUAUAUUGUCUAUUAAAAAAUAGAAUUCAUCCAUACGAUAAUUAUUUAAAAAAAAGAUUUGGUUCAUAUUUUAUUUAUUAAAAAAUAAGGUUGAUCUGUACGAUAAUUGUUUAAGCAAAAGGUUUGGUUCAUAUCUUAUAAAUUUUUUAUUAAGUAUACUAUUAAAAAAUACGAUUGGUUCAUACGAUAAAAUUUUACACUUGGACUAGACAAAAACAUUUAUUAAUAAUAGAUUGUAUUUAUUAAAUGAAAUUUUAAUUUUGUUAUAUUGGUUAUUAAAAAAUAGGAUUGGUAUGUGCAAUAAUUAUUUAAAAAGAAGAUUUGGUUCAUGUCUUAUACUAUUAAAAAUAGGGUUGAUUCAUGCGAUAAUUAUUUAAAAAAAGGGUUUGUUUCAUGUCUUAUACACUUGGUGUACAAUUUUUUUUACACCAUAUAUAAAAAUCUAUUAAUUUUUGUAUAUAAAUUUUUUAUUGAACUAGCUAGGUUGAAAUACUAUUAAUAACACCAAACUAUUUGUGCUAUUAGUUUUUUAGCUCAUAGAUUGAGAAACAUGCGGUUAGGAUAAUAUGGGCCCUUUAGGUUUGAGUGGGUGGUUGUUGAACAGUAUAAUCUAACGGGUAAAAAUAAUCAAAGGAUUAAAUCUAACGGUGGAAAACUCGAUAGCACCAAAUCCUCGGUGCUAUCAAAAAUAUCCCAACCGGACUCUUUUUUAUUAAUUAUAUUAUUAAAAAUUAAAGUUGGUUCAUGCGAUAAAAUUUUACACUUAGUAUAGACAAAAAUAAAAAAGAAAAAGUGUUGCGAGAAAAAAAAAAAUUUAAAAAAAAGUGUAGGUGUGUGAGAGAAUUCAAACUUUUUAUGGAAAUUACAACAAAUAUGUGAGCUUGUAAUUUCCAAACUUGAUGUAUAAAUACAUCAAAUUCGCUUGUUUUGUCAUUCGAUAGAAUACUGUUUCGUUUCGUCAAAUAAUAAAUUUCGUGUUUUUGGUGCGCACAUAUGUUCUAAAAAUAUUUACCCAGCACUUUGGUUAUUUUUAUAUUAACAAUCAUAGCGGCAAAUAGCAUAACAGAUCAAUUUGAUAUUAUUGAAUAUAUGUUAAUAAAACACGGUUUUCUAAUAGCUAAAAUUUGUAGAAAUAAAAUUUUCUUUUCCACACGGGUGUUCUCGAUCUAAUAGCUAACAUUUUUAAAGAUAUAUGUUAAUAAAACAUGGUUCUCUAAUAGUUAAAUUUUUAGAGAUAGAAUUUUUCUUUCACAAUGUUUAAAAUAGUGUCAAAUAUGUAAGGCCAAUUAAAAAAUCUCGACUACAGACAUUAUAUAAUUAGCUGUGUACUUUUAGUUAACCACUAACUUUCAUUAAUUAUUCUCAUACACACUUGUUAAGAGUUCAUAUGUGAAUAGUCCGACAUCGAAUAGUUAUUAGAGAGCAAAAUAUUUUAUAUCUAUAUAUUAGUAAAUCUAAAUUUAAUAGACUUAAGCUUUUAGUCACAUCCCUCGUGUUUGGGAUGGGCAGAAGUUUAUAAUAACAUGUGUGAACCACAUAGCAGUAAAUUUAUUAUUUUUGGUGAAAUUUAUUUUAACGUUUACUGUAUUUAGUUAUAAUAAAUUAUCUCUUAUAGAGUUCAUAGAAAAUUCAGAUUCAAAAAAUUAUUGAGAGGGUUAAAUGACCAUCAUACCUAUAUAUAUUAGCGUUUGCUUAAUCAUGCAUUUAAGGACAAUAUGAAGAUAAAAUAAAUGUAAUUGCUUCUAAAAGUGGAAAGAAAAAAUAGCAAUAAUAGAUUGGGAGUCGUACAAUAUAGAAAUAGUAUAAGAGACCAUUUAAUAGGUUGGGGUUCGAUCUCCCACCAAUGCAUUUAUAAAAGAGGAUGUUUGGAAAAAAUAUAUGUGAAUACUUUAGGAGGUUUUGGAGUGGGGCCUACUGGCUCUAAUAAAACCAUCAAAAUUACACAUAGUUUACUGAUUUCUUCAAAAGAUUAAGGGAUGCGAAUCUGAGUUCCAAUUUAACAAGAACUCUCGAAUACAAGUUUUUACGAUAGAAAUUGACAGAUUAAAUUAUAAAAAGCCCUCAUCCAAAACCAGGCAAAUAUACACGUAAUUAACUACACCUGGGCAUCAUGAUCAUAUAUAAAAGAACUUAGAAAAUUAAGUAAAAAUAACAUUGCUCACAUCCAAUUAUACACCAAGAGAUUAAUUAACUGAAGACAUACAGAAAAUACAAUUCAGCAUCUACUGAUCAAAUCAUUUCAUUGCAUUAUUAUAUUAUUAGUUGCACCGGGGUAUACAUUACAUCAGUCUCCAUCAAGAAAUUAAUGAAUCUUAAUUGAAUAACAAAGCAGAGAAACUAUUAUCAUACCUAGCUCCGUUAAUAAUCCCCCCAAUUACAUUAAUUGAACCCAGGAUUAGACUUCAUAAAAAAUUAAGGGGCGAACUAAUUAUUAUUAUUACUAUAAACAGAAAUGAGAUCGAGUACGUAGAGCAGGAACGAUCAGUCUCACGAAUCUCGCAGCAACAGCAAUGCUUCCGCGGCCAGCAGUUCAUCGGCAUCAAACUUAUCGUCAUCGUGGUCUUCGCGUACUUCGUCACCCUUCUUGCGGCUCAACAGGGCCAUGCCGAGGCCGCCGCAGCACCGGAACGCCCAGAUGUCGACGCGGUCGCCCGCGCGCAACCCGUUGCGUUUCACGAAGCGGCCCCAGCUGCCGAUGAGGCGGAAGUCGCCAUUGGAGUCGAGGAAUUUGAACGUCAUGGCGUGCUCCCGCCCCAGUCGGUCGAACACCCUCACGGGGAGGCCGCGCUCGCGGUCGACGACGAGCGCGGCCUCGUCAGACGUGACCAGGUCCCGCAGCGACGUCGUGGCCGUCACCUGUUUGUGGGUCAGCAGCAGGCGGCUCUGCUGGCUGCUGACGUCCGACCCCGACAGCUCCUUCUGCAGUAUCCACGUCGGCUGGCUCACCCCCUCCCGCAGCAGCGCCGACAGAAUUCCGACGCACCGCGACGGCUUUGGCGCACCGCCGCUGCCUGCAGGACGAUUGUUGGGCCGCGGGCUGCGUUUCUUGGCGGGGAUGAUCGGAGAAGCCGCAGCGGUGCUGACGGCAUCAGCUGGGGGGUCUCUCCUCGGCUUCUUCCUCACCGGUGGUUGCACGGAGUGCCCCAGCUCAUGAUCUUGCGCGUUCUCGAGAUCCGGCGGCUCGGAUCGAUCGGGAGCGUCGGCGCGGUUUCGCUUCGUCUCCUUGAAGAUGGCCAUUGAUGGUUUCUUGAAGCUUCGAUCGGCCGGGAGCUCUUCCGGAUGAUCAAGAAGCUGCUGCGUACGUGAUCGGGGGGAGAGAGAGAGAGAGAGUUGUAAGUGGUUACGCACGUCGCGUAGCAUAAAGUAUAUAAGACAUGCAUAUAGAUACGUACAUACGUAGCGCAAUUCCUAAUUCUACUCGAAUCAUGAUUAAUCUUACCGUUGAUGAAUAUUCUUACCGUUAAUGAUUGUGAUAACUCGUGUUGGUAACUUCGAGUCGAAGGCGAUCGUGCGUUCACCAAAUACGCCCCGGGAUCGAUGCUGAGAUUUGAGACUUCAGAGCCGUUGGAUCAGGUUCAUAAUGCAUUGUUUUUUUCAAAAAAACGAAAAAGGAAAAAAAUCGCUGAGACACGGGAAGUCAAUUGAGUUUAUUUUUUUUAGUUUUUUUAUAUAUACGCAUAUUAAUUUAUGACCACACCUAGAAUUUGAUUAUUAAUGCUAAUUCAAUAGAAAUAAGUUUAAAAUCAAGAUAUUAAUUAAUUUUUAAAAUCAAUAGUAGAGAAAAUUUUAUUUAUUGAUUCAUAAAAAUAAGAGGAAGUGACAAAGACUUUGAUAAUUAAUACCCGAGACUAAGUUCGAAUUCUAAUUGAUUCACAUUUCUAGUUAAGUUUAUUUCUAAAUGAAAUAAACGAAGCGGGUAGCGUGCUAUCUAUCUCUCAAAACAAAACAAAAUUGUGCGCGCUACAAUAUUGCUAAGGCAGAACGUUUCAUCGAUCCUACUUAAUAAAAGUUACUAUUAAAAGGACCGACCAAUUUAAACAUUAAAAAAACUUAAGGAUAUAAUUGUAACAAAUUUAAACUUAUUUAAAAUUUAUCGCAUAAAAAUCAAAAUCACACCCAUUUAUUUAUUUAUUUAUUUAUUUGUUUGUUUUUUGUAAAACAAGAUAACUGCUAAGAUCGCACUGUUAACUAACUUCACACGCGCGCAAUCAGAGUCACCAAUCUCCUUCAAUUCCAGCCUCUUAUCUAACUUGUCGCAAGUAUAAAUAUCACAAUUGUUAUAAUCGGCACAACAAAUAAUAGAUUUAGAAAAAUAAUUAAUACAGAAAAAAAAAAAAACACAUCGAAAUUUAUAUGAUUCAGCUAUGGAUAAAGACAGGAGCAAAAUUUUUUAUUAAUAUCAAAGGUGGAGUGCAAAAAUUAAAUCUAUGACAAAAUUUAAAUUUUCAAACACCUAAUUUUGCAUGCCGAUCUAGACUCCGAAGUAGCUCGGCUCGCGAACGGACACAACUUGGGCUCGGCUCUCUCCAACAGUGCACUGCUUGGUGAUCGGUAUUGCUGCGUCUGUACGACGACCAACAAAAAAAAAAAAAAGAAAAAAAGAAAAAAGUUAAUUAGCUUUAUGUAAUUGGAGCCGCUCUAAAAGCAACAUACGCCAUCUCCCCCCUAUCCGUUUACUUAAUUAAUUAGCAUGGGGCCUAAUUAGCGAUGCGGCUUCCCUAACAUGACGGUGGUAUAUAUAUGCAUAUAUAAUGUAUAGCUCCAAAUUAGAGUAUAAUUCUAAUUACAAUUUAGUUAGAUUCCUAUUUAUACUCUCUAUAGGUCAAGUAAAAUUUAAAUUAUAUCUUAUUCUAAUUAGAUUAGAAUUUUAUUUUAAUUUAUAUAACUAUAAAUUUAAACCAAAAUUAUAACAACAAUUGUCUGUAAAAAAGUUUGAAAAUAUUUUAUUAAAAGCCUUUAAUGGUGUUAAGGCAAUCUCACCGUUGACGAGGCCCAGCGAUCUAAGUUUGUGGCAGCCCUGCCGGUGACCGCGUGCAACAAAGACCCCGUCUGCACCCUGCAAAAGUGGGUUUCGAUCAGCGACACGAGCGGCCACCACCACCACUGCUUCUUGCGCCCGUGCGACGCGUUGACGGGUGCGAAGCAGCUGGAAAGGAAGCACCUGCACCUGAUCAUGUUGGAAAUCAUGCGGUUCGUCGGCGAGAACCGGAUGCGCGAGGCCCAGGUAUUCGAGCCGUGGGCGUACCGCGAAGUCGAGAAGCUCAAGCUGGGCGUGUUGAACUGCAACGCGCCUCGGCCUAAUCCUGCAUUCUGCAACCACUGCUGCUGAUCGACAGGAGUCGUCCGCGGGGGCGCAAGACGUGAAUGUUUUUGAUGCUCCAGCUUUGGUUGUGCGCAACAUCCUGAAGCAGCGCGACCGCAUCUUCGCCCUUACGAGCCGAAACUGGUUCCGUUCGAUUAUGUUACAGAGGCUACAAUGUUGUUGUUGUUGUUGUUGUCCGUGAUUUUGAUUCACAAAUUCAAUUGAACAAGAAAGAAUUGAGAGUGCGUAGGCUGUAUACGUACGUCCCCAUCUGUGCUUUAAAAUAGAUUUUGUAAAUUACAAUAGAGACUCUUAAAUUGGGAGAGUAGUUGGAUUACAAUAUGCAAUGGGUUGUAGAGUCAACAGUUUUUUUUUUUUUUUUUUGUUUACUUUAUUUUUAUUUUUUUUAUUCGAGACUGAAUUGUCUUAAUUUUUGUAGUUGAAUUUAAUUCAACUACAAAAAUUAAGACAAUUCAGUCUCGAAUAAAAAAAAUAAAAAUAAAGUAAACAAAAAAUAAAAGACAAAACUUAGAAAACUAAAGUAAAAUAAGUAAAUAAAAUUUAAAAAAAGUGAAACUAAAAAAAGUUCACUUAAUUAGAUAUAGUUGCGGAACUUAGUUCACUUCUUUCUAAGUCUCAAACUCGUCCAACCAUGAUUAAAGAAUCUGAAGAUUGAUUCUUAAAAAUCACGUUAUCUCUUUCACGCCAAAUCAGCUGCUAACAGAUUGUAUUCUUUGAUAUGAUCUUUCGCUAAUACCCUUUGUUAGCGAUUGUCAAACAGAAACUCUUAGACACCCCUGGCCUCCACCAUUGAUUUCGAGAUAUGUCUAUCGUUAAGUAUGCUGAACAUCAGAAAUUUACUGAAUACGUAUCCCACGAAUAGAUAAUCACAGUCUCAGAUUCAGCGUCACACAAAAUAUUAUGUAGAUUUCCGAACGAGCCUUUUUUAAGUAGAUUAUCAACCGUUGAUAAAUACUUCCUAAUAACUAGCCAAAUAAAAACUCUAUAUAUAUAUAAAAUUGAGCGUAAUAUAAAAAAUAGAGCUUAAUAUACAAGCUCCAAUUAAUAAUCUUUAAAUACAAAAAAUUUAAACAAAUAAACGAAUUUGAUCUUCGAUCGUCUUUCUAUUUACAUCUUCUUUUAUAUUCUUUUAUGAACAAUUCCCUCACAAGCCAUAGAUGCAAGCAUGCAUCAAGUGCGAAAGCACGCGACGAAGCGCUGAAGGUGGCUGCGCUGGCAUCGCCGAUUCGUACGCCGAUGCUCUUCCCUGGCGGCAGCGUCGCGGUCGAUGACACUUUCGAUACACCGAAAGUAGUCGACGCGACACGGAAUAACGAUUGCGCCCGUCUGGUGGAACCCGAACUCCGCCUCGGCCGCGUCGAGCAUGGCCGCGAAGAGCGGGUGCUCAAGGUGCCCCACCGGCACCACGAACCUCUGCCGCCUCUCCCCCUCGGCCCCGACCCUCACCGCGACGUGUCCCUUCGGCGGCAGCGGCGAUUUCUUUGAGGACCAGGGCCAGUGAAGGUGCAAGUUCUUCCAUGAAUGGCGUUGCUGCAGCCUCUCUUUGCUGAUGCUGUCCAUGCCAAAAAACAUGAAAACCAAGAGCGCAAAUUAAAGAAGCUACAAAUCAAGAGGGAGCUUUUGAGUGAAAGAGAGUUGCAAAAAGGAUCUGGUAUUAGCUGGGAGAGGGGGUGUAUAUAUAUAUAAGAAAUGAUAAUAAUAAUAAUAAUAAAGCUAGUUAGAGUCUAGUUUGAAUUGGAGUCGGCGUUGAAGAUGAUUUUGCUUGGUCAAAUUAAUAAUUAAGUACGACACGUUUUCUUUUUUUUCUUUUUUUUCUUUUUUUGGCCCUUUGUGAAUUAAUUAUUAUUAAUUAAUUUGAUCCAUAUAUAUAAUUGGUCUACGUACGGAGCUAGUUUUAUUAACCGUUAAUUAACUUUGCUAUUUUUGUUGCGCUCUCCGCUUUGAAACAAAUCUAAAUAGAAUUAAAUAACAAAAAUUCGGUGAAACUUAUUUUAAAAUAAUAAAAUUUAUUUACAUUUCCUUUUAUUAAUUGUUCAACAACUGAUUAAAAAUAACUUUUACUGUGCUUACUUUUUUUAAUUUUUCUAAAACUAUAGUUUUAUUUUGUCAGGAGGAGAGAUCAUGCAUGAGAGAGGGAUAAGGAGAGGGAUAAGAAGUUCGGUCAUGCAAAAAAAUGUGAAAUAAUUAAUUUAUUUCAAAAAAUUUAAGUCAUGUUCAGAAUUUUGCUAAUAUCUAGACUCGAGAUUUUUUAAUAAGACCUAAGUUAUAGAUUUAAAUUAAAUAAAAAAAUUAAAUAAAACUAGGAGUGUGAUAUAUAAAAUCUACACUUAGAAUUCCGAACGCAAAAAUUAAUUAAUAAUAAGCUCUAAAUUAAAGUAGACAAUUUUUUAUAAACAAUCAUGCUCAUAAUAAUGGGCUGACCAUAUCUCUCGAGAGUCCAACCCACAGACUGCCCGAAGUAGCACGUGGUAUUUAACUAUAUAAACUAAUAUAUUAAAAUAGUUAAAAUAAUUUUUUAAUAAAUAGAAAUAUUUGAAUAAUCUUUUGGUAAAUAGAGAUAAUGCUAGUGUAGAAACUCGCGCGAUGCAGCGGGUAAAUAAUAGAAGCAAAAUUUUAAAAUUUUAAUAAAAUUUAUAUUUACAGUUUAUUGAUGUAUAGAAAGCUAUACCAUGUUAAGUACAGUCAAUUUGCUUGACCAAAUUCAACUGUUAAAAAAAAAUUAUAGUUAGAAGUUUAUAUAAAUUUUUUAAAAUCAUCAAAAUACAGUAAGAGACAUACAAUUUUAUCAUAUUAUAUGCCUCUUGAACAUUCCGUUGUGAAAAAUUAAAAAGAGAUAGCUCCAAUGCAGCUGAAUCAACCCAACAGGCACUUAUAUGGGCUGCGACUGGAUUUUGCGGGACGAUACUUUUCAAAGAAGACAACGUUCUUUGCAUAUUCUUUUUCUUCAUCAUCAUCAUCCUCAUCAUUCUUAUUAAGACAAUGAGAGAGAGAGCUAGAUGAGUGUAGGGAGGGAGAUUAGAUAAUAUUUUUUUUUGCAUGAAAAAUAACAUACCAUGCAAAAAGAGAGGGGGCCGGGGGGAUUAAUAGAGGUGGGGAGUGGAUUGGAGUUACAAAACCCACUCAUUGAUGAAAUAUGAUGUAUAUAAUUAAAUGGUGCAUUUUGGAUUAAUUAAUUCUUGUGAUUUCAAAGGAAUGAGAGGUUUGAGGAAGAAGAAAAAAAAAAAAACAUAUAAAUUACAAGAAAACAUAUUAUUGGUGGCAAAAAUAAUGUGGCGAUAAAUUUUGUCGCCACUAUAUAGUUACUUUUUGUGGCGAUAAAAAAAAUUGCCACCGAUUAGUUAACUAAAAGUGGCAAUGCUACUUUCGCCACUAAAUGAUUAUUUUAUCGCCACUAUUUAGUUAUUUACGGUAGCGACAAAAAGAAUGGCCAUCGAUUAACUAACUUAAAGUGGCGACACUACUUUCGCCACUAAAUAANUAAAUAAUUAUUUUAUCGCCACUAUUUAGUUAUUUACGGUGGCGACAAAAAGAAUGGCCAUCGAUUAACUAACUUAAAGUGGCGAUACUACUUUCGCCACUAAAUAAUUAUUUUAUUGCCACUAAAUCGGUAUUUAUGAUGGCGAUAAAAAAUAUUGCCACUAAUUAAUUAACUUAAAGUGGCAAUAUUACUUUCGCCACUAAAUGAUUAUUUUAUCGCCAUUAUUUGGUUACCUAUAGUGGCAAAAAAAUUUUUUGCCACCAAUUAAUUAACUUUAAGUGGCGAUAAAAAAAUUUGCCAUCAAUUAAUUAACUUUAAGUGGCAAUAUUACUUUCGCCACUAAAUGAUUAUUUUAUCUUCAUUAUUUGGUUACCUAUAGUGGCGAUAAAAAAUUUUUGCCACCAAUUAAUUAUCUUUAAGUGGCAAUACUACUUUCGCCACUAAAUGAUUAUUUUAUCGCCAUUAUUUGGUUACCUAUAGUGGCGAUAAAAAAUUUUGCCACCAAUUAAUUAACUUUAAGUGGCAAUACUACUUUCGCCACUAAAUGAUUAUUUUAUCACCAUUAUUUGGUUAUCUAUAGUGGCGAUAAAAAAAAUUUUGUCACCAAUUAAAUAACUUUAAGUGGCGAUAAAAAAUUUUUGCCACCAAUUAACUAACUUUAAGUGGCAAUACUACUUUCGCCACCAAAUGAUUAUUUUAUCGCCAUUAUUUGGUUACCUAUAGUGGCGAUAAAAAAAAUUUUAAGUAGCGAUAGAAAAAUUUUGCCACCAAUUAAUUAACUUUAAGUGGCAAUACUAUUUUCGCCACUAAAUGAAUAAUUUUUUACCACUAUUUGGUUAGCGAUAGUGAUGAUAAAAAAUUGGUGCAUAUUAAUAAUAAAAUUAAAUAAAAAUAAAAUAUUUAAAACGUUUAUAUCAAAAUAAUGUAUAGUGAAUGUGAAAAAACUGUAGUUGUUAAAAAUUGAGGGUGAGAAUGUACAGAGACACAUUCAACUUCAGAUCAUUUUGAAAUUACUUUAUGAAUUUUAAUUUUAUUUUGAUUCACAUCUCUGAACUUUUUUUAAUUAUUUUAUUCUAGUUAAUUUAGUUAAAUUUUUAAAUUCAAGAGCUUUAUUAAUUAGUGUUUACCUAUUAAUUAUUUUCAUUUAUUUUUUAAAAUUUAAUUAAAUUUAACUUUAAUUAAUUAAUUAAUUAAUUAAUUACAAAUUAUUAAUUAAAUUAAAUUUUAAAUUUUAAAUUUUAAAAAUUAAUUUAUUAAAUUUAAAAAUUAAAUUAAAUUAUUUAAAAUUUAAUUAAAAUGACUAAAUUUUAAUCAAAUUUAGUAUCCAAACAAAAAUUAUAUGGUGUAUAAAAUAAUUAUGCGGGCCGGUCCUCGUUUCUCUAUCUCUAACGUGAAUACGAGAUAUGGUUCUCUGGACCCCGUUCGCCACGUCACUCACCAGGUGGUAGUGAGUAGUGGCUAGUGAGAUGAUGCAACUAAUUUUUAUUGGAGGGUGGUCAAAAGUAACACUAAUAUUUUCUACAAUAGAAAAUGUAUAAAUUUUUGUCUCACACACUGCCACGCUUCCUUUUUUAGAGCUUUCAAAAUUUUUAAGUUUAUUUUAGAGAUUUAAUAUAUGAUUAAAAUAAAAUUUUAAAUUCAUUUAAUUAGAGCCUCAAACGCUCACACUCUCCCUUUACCUAAACCUCACACUCUCCCCACGCUUACCCCCUUCUCCUCGGCGAGCUCCUCGCCGGCGAGGCCCCUUCUCCUCGGCGAGCUCCUCACCGGUGAGUCCUCGAUGGCGAGCUCAUAGGCAACGAGCAACUCCCCGCCAAUCCCUUUUACGACGAGCCCUUUAGCACGGAUCUCCUCGCCGUUGAUCUCCUCUUUGUCGUUCUCCUUGCGGGUGAGUCCUUCGCCGCAGAUCUCCUCGCCGCCAAGAUUCUCAUUGCCGAUCUCCUCUCUGACGAGCUCUCCACGGUCCCGAUUUCUAAUCGAAGAAAAAUCUGUAAAAAAAAAGGUCAGAAAAGCUAAAUUUGGUUGUGAAUUUUGAUUUCUUUUUAAAUUUGGUUGUGUAUAUAGUGCGAGAUGGUGAAUUUUGAUGUUUGUUCUUGUAGGUUCUUUUUGUUUGUUUAAUUGUUCUGUUUCUAUUAACUGUUUCUAUUAAAAAGCUCAAUGAUGCUAAGAAUCUGCUUUUCAUGAGCUCACUGGUCCAUGAUAUAGUCUUAUUUGCAUGCUUAUCUGAAUAGUUUGUUGCAUUCACUAUGAGCUCUGGUCUCUCAAAUUGUUCUUGUGAUUUCUCGGAAAUUGUAGUUUGAACUAUGUUUAAUUAAUAAUCAGCAGGAAAGGCAAAAUAUCAGAAACUAAAACCAACUCACCCUUGAGUAUCACUAGCUGCAGUAAUUAGAUUAACAUACACUGAUUGUGCAUUUGUAUAGCUUUCAUCAGCUGGACCUAACAGGUAGGUUGUUCAUAGGCCAUUUGAAAAGCUCAAUAGUUGCAAAUGAUUUCCGCUAGUCGAUAACCUCUAUCCAAAGACCUUACUUGCGAAAACCAAGUAAUUUAGUUUGAGUUUCAUACUCCCGAUUGAGGACAAUUUUACAUUGAGGCAGAAUAUCAAACUAGAGUUUUCGGCUAUCAAAUAAGGUUUAUUUUAUUUUGCUUGUCACCUAAAUUAGCUCCCAUCACUUUCAAAGAAAUCAAGGUACAAAGUACGUCUAUUGUGGACAUAUUUUCUUCGCUUUGUCAGUAUAAACCUCAAAAAUGAUGUUUUGGUAACUGAUGUUUUGGUCUGAUGUUUUGUAACUGAUGUUUUGGUCUGUUUAGUGUUAUACCUUAGUAUGGUUGAAACAGAAUAAGACCAUAUCUCUUUUCUUUUUUUCUCCUUCUUUGUUUCAUCUGAGUGAAUAUAAUUGCUAAUUAUGGUUGUAUCCUGUUUCAUUUCAGCAAAAAUAUCAUCUACUGCUGCUAAAUUUUGCUUUGUAUGAAGAGAAGCACAAGGUACGUUACUUUACGUAUGAAUAGGAGAAUUUCUGUAUACUUUAAUUUUUUUUUUUUAUUUUAUCUGAGAACAGGCCAUGUCUUAUAAUGUGAGCAUCUUGAAUUUGUAUACCAUGGGUUGAAUGGUGGUGAUUAUUAUAUCAUGCAGCAAAAGGCUAAUAAUGCUAAUAAUGCUAGUUUAUCUGGAUAACAAUGCGAAAUGGAGAGAGCUUAAAAUCUUCUGUUGUUGUAGAUUGUUUAAUUUAUAUAAUUUAUUAUUUUUUUUCUUUUGUUUGUUGCAGGAAAUGAAUUGCUGUUGAAAUAGGAGCUGAAACAUUUUUUUUAUCGUUUUUAAGUAUUUUCUAUUUUCAAAGUUGAGAGAGGCAGGAAUGAUGUUGAACUGUAUAUCGAAUAUUAUUACUCUAUUGCUUUUAAAUUGAUUUUGCUAUUAUUUUAUUUUUAAGAUGUUGUGGAUCAGAAGACAAUUAGCCUUUUAAAUUGUUGUUAAAAGAAUAAUUUUGUUUUCUUUAAUAUUUUGUUUGUUAUUUUGUAUAUGUUCUAUUUAUAAAAUAUAAGCUGUAUAUUUUUAUAUUUAGUUUAUUAUUUUUUUAUUAUUGGUGGCCAUUUAUUGCACAGUUGAUGGCGACAAAAAGUUGCCUUUUUAUUUUUAACUAAGGUGGCGACUGUAAUGGUUGCCGCUUAAUGAAAGGUGGCGAUUAAGAAGGGCCACUAAAACGUUAUAUUUGAUGGCGAAAAUGUAUUACCACCUUAUCUCCAUGAAAGGUGGCGACUAAGAAGCGCCACUAAAACGUUAUAUUUGAUGGCAACAAAAUAUCGCCACGCUAUCUUUAAUAAGGUGGCGAUUAAUAGUUGCCACUAAAAGCUAUAUUUGGUGGCGAUAAAAUGUCGCCAUGUUACCUAUAAUAAAGUGGCAACUAACAAAGGUCACUAAAAGUCAUAUUUAGUGGCGAUAAAAGAUCGCCACGCUAUUUUAAAAAAGGUGGCGAUUUUUCACGCUUCGCCACAAUUUCAUUUAGCGGCAACACUUUCAGUGGUAGCUUGUGGCGACUUUAAAAAUCGCCACCUUUUAAAAAUGUGGCAACUUUUUAUAUAUAUGGUGGCGACAUUAGUCGCCACCACUAUAUAAUAUUCUUGUAGUGAGAGUACAUUGAUUAGAUGUUAUCGAAUAGAAAUGAGGGGAGGGGAAAAGUCAAGGUCAUUGAAUUGGAGGUGAGAUUGAAAGAAAACUUGCCGAGGAAGGGAAGAGAAAAGCCAAGGUCAUUGAAUAGAAUGUGAGGUUGAAAGAAAACUUGCUACGUGACAAAAAUAUUGGGAAUUUAUAUAUGUUAUUAGAUGUUAGAUUAUGUUAUUGGACAUAGUACUUUUUUUAGGGUUAAUUGCACUGUUAUUAGAUGUUCUCGAGAUCCGGCGGCUCGGAUUGAUCGGGAGCGUCGGUGCGGUUUCGCUUCGUCUCCUUGAAGAUGGCCAUUGAUGGUUUCUUGAAGCUUCGAUCGGCCGGGAGCUCUUCCUGAUGAUCAAGAAGCUGCUGCGCGCGUACGUGAUCGGCGAGAGAGAGAGAGAGAGAGAGAGAGAGAGAGAGAGAGAGAGUUGUAAGUGGUUACGUCGCGUAGCAUAAAGUGUAUAAGACAUGCAUAUAGAUACGUACAUACGAAGCGCAAUUCCUAAUUCUACUCGAAUCAUGAUUAAUGUUAACGUUGAUGAAUAUUCUUACCGUUAACGAUCGUGAUAUAUAACUCGUGUUGGUAACUUCGAGUUGAAGGCGAUCGUGCGUUCACCAAAUACGCCGGGGAUCGAUGCUGAGAUUUGAGACUUCAGAGCCGUUGGAUCAGGUUCAUAAUGCAUUGUUUUAAAAAAAAAAACAAAAAACGAAAAAAAUCGCUGAGACAAGGAAAUUCAGUCGAGUUUAUCUUUUUAUUUUUUUUAUAUAUACGCAUAUUUUAUGACCACAUCUAGAAUUUGAUUAUUAAUGCUCAAUAGAUAUAAGUUACAGAACUUACAUAAUUAAAAAUUUACAAUCAAGAUAUUAAUUAAUUUCUAAAAUCAAUAGUAGAAAAAAUUCUAUCUAUUUAUUCAUAAAAAAUAAGUGUUUAAAAUUUGUGUGCGCUACAAUAUUUCUAAGGUAGUACGCUUCAUUGAUCCUACUUAAUAAAAGUUACUAUUAAAAGGGCCGACCAAUUUAAACAUUAAAAAAACUUAAGGAUAUAAUUGUAACAAAUUUAAACUUAUUUAAAAUUUAUCCCGUAACAAAUCAAAAUCACACCAAUUUAUUUAUUUAUUUUUUAUAAAACAAGAUAACUGCUAAAAUCGCACAUAAUCAUUCCUUACAAUUCAAAGAACAAAUCGAACUGUUAACUAAUUUCACACACAAUCAGAAUCGUCGAUCUCCUUCAAUUCCAGCCUCUCACCUAACUUGUUGCAAGUAUAAAUGUCACAAUUGUUUUAAUCGGCAUGACAAAUAAUAGAUUCGAAAAAAUAAUUAAUAUAAAAAAAAAAAAAGAUAGAGCACGCCGAAAUUUAGUGAAGACGAAGCAAAAUUUUUUUAUUAAUAUCAAAGGUGGAGUGCAAAGAUUAAAUUAAUCUCUCACAAAAUCCAAAUUUUCAAACACCCAAUUUUGCAUGUGGUACUAGACUCCGAAAUAGCUUGGCUCCCUCACCUGUACGGACACAUUGAACCAACACAACAGAGCACUCAGGGACGAAGCUAGGAUUCAAUCUUGAGAGGGACCAAAAUAUAUUUAAAUAAAAACUUUAGUAAUAAAUAAGAAACAAAAUUUUUCCUAAUUAAAAUUUUUUUAUUAAAAAAUUAUUAAUUAAAUAAAUAAUGUAAAAGUAUGAACUAUAUUUUUUUUAUUUUCAGAUGUUUAACUUCUAAUUAUUUUAUUUAUAUUAUUAUAUUAAAAUAACUUAGAAAUUUUACUAAAUUUAACAUUAAUUUUUUAGUUUUUUAAAUAAAAUUAACAUAGCUAUUAAAUUUAGUACAAUUCUUGAUUUAGUCAAAUAAAAGAGCUUAUCUAAAAUAAAUAAAAGUUUUAAAAAAAUUAUUAAAUAAAAAUUUUAGAGUAGAGAAAUAUAUUACAAAAGACUAUAAGUAAGAAACUUUUAAUAUAUUUUUAUUCAUAAAAAGAGCAUAUCGAUUAGAAAAAAGAGAAAGAGAGUUAUGUUGGCACCAUACUAUUAAGUAAAUAUUAAAAAACUAGAAGAGGCAAAGCUACCUAUGGUCCAUCAAAAAAAAAUUUUUUGAAGAACCAUUAAGCAAAUGUUGAAAAGUUGAAGGGGGCCAUGGUCACCUUUGGCCUCCACAUAGCUUUGUCCCUGAGAGCACUGCUUGGUGAUGUUGCUGCGUCCGUACGACGACCAACCAAAAAAAAAGAAAAAGAAAAAAGUUAGUUAGCUCUAUGUAAUUGGCGCCACUCUCCUCUCUAUCCGUUUACUUAAUUAUUUAGCGUGGGGUCUAAUUAGCGAUGCGGCUUCCUUAACACGACCGUGGUAUAUAUGUAUAUAUAAUGUAAAGCUCCAAAUUAGAGUCUAAUUCUAAUUAUAAUUUAGAUAAACUCCUAUUUAUACUCUCUGUAGGUCAAGAAAAAUUUAAAUUGUAUCUUAUCCUAAUUAGAUUAGAAUUUUAUUUUAAUUUAUAUAACUAUAAAUUUACAUCAAAAUUAUAACAACAAUUGUCCGUAAAAAAGUUCGAAAAAAUUUUAUUAAAAGCCUCUAAUGGCGAAGAAGCUGAAGGAGAAUCAGUUGUUGGAUGUUCCGCGUCCGUCUAGAAGGUAAAGAAGUUUGCAGCAGCCCUGCCGGUGACCGCGUGCAACAAAGACCCCGUCUGCACCCCUGCGAAAGUGGGUUUCGAACAGCGACGCGAGCGGCCACCGCCGCUGCUUCUUGCGCCUGUGUAGUAUCCUGAUGCAGCACCGACCGUCCCAUGAGCAAGUGGCAAAGGAUUUGAUGGUUGGUAUCCGAGACCCAAGUUCGAAUCCUAAUUGAUUCACAUUUCUAACUAAGUUUAUUUCUAAAUGAAAUAAACGAAGCGGGUAGCGUGCUACCUAUCUCUCAAAAAAAUAUCCUGAUGUAGCACGGCCGCAUCUUCGCCCUCACGAGCCGAAACUGGUUCCGAUCGAUUAUGUUACAGAGGCUGCAAUGUUGUUGUUGUCCGUGAUUUUGAUUCACAAAUUCAAUUGAAAAUGAAAGAAUUGAGUGUAGGCUGUUUACGUACGUCCCUAUCUAUAUAAGCUUUAAAAUAGAUUUUGUAAAUUACAAUAGAGACUCUUGAACGGGGGAGACUAGUUUGAUUACAAUAUACAAUGGGUUGUAGAGUCAACAGUUAUAUAUAUAUAUAUAUAUAUAUAUAUAUAUAUAUAUAUAUAUAUAUAUAUAUAUAUAUAGAGAGAGAGAGAGAGAGAGAGAGUUGGACUGGGCUACUAUUUGUAGCAAAAUUUUAUUGUUGCUGCCAAUUUUUUAGCCUUUGGAUCAACUCUUUUCAUUAUUUCUAACCAUUGGAUUAAAUACUAUAAUCCAGUGAGGACCACUCAACCCUAGGGGGACCACUCAACUCUAACCGACUAAUAUCAUCCUGACCCUACAAUUUUUCAUCCAAGGAUUAAAAACUUGAUAGCAAAAAGAGUGUUUUACUAUUAAUAGUAUUCCAGCCUAAUUUUAUAUAUAUAUAUAUAUAUUUGACAAAAAAAAAAGCGCACUACCCGCUUCAUUAUUAUAAAAAAUUAAUUCAGCUUCAAAAAUUAAGACAACU
rnacentral:lncRNA from 1 species